rnacentral:lncRNA from 1 species
CUAGAAGCAACAUUAUUUUUCCUUUCUCCUGAAGAAUAUUUAUCAUGCUUCGACUUCUCCCUAUUCUUGAUUCUUUCCAGAUUGUCAUUUUCUCCAGAUUUCAGGUCAGACAGGCCACUGGAUGUUUGCUCUUUGUAUUUCAGGUCCUUGUGGUGUCUCUUGUCUCUUGGUUUCUCCCUGUCACCUGAUUCAUCAUCCAAAUCCUGCUGUGUUUUAUCAUAAUUUGACCUCUCCUUGUGCUUGAGGUCCUGGUGCUGUCUCUUGUCUCUUGGUCUCUCCCUGUCACCUGAUUCAUUGUCCAAGUCUUGCUGUGUUUUAUCAUAAUUUGACCUCUCCUUGUGCUUCAGGUCCUGGUGCUGUCUCUUGUCUCUUGGUCUCUCCCUGUCACCUGAUUCAUCGUCCCAAUCUUGCUGUGUUUUAUCAUAAUUUGACCUCUCCUUGUGCUUCAGGUCCUGGUGCUGUCUCUUGUCUCUUGGUCUCUCCCUGUCACCUGAUUCAUCGUCCGAAUCUUGCUGUGUUUUAUCAUAAUUUGACCUCUCCUUGUGCUUCAGGUCCUUGUGGUGUCUCUUGUCUCUUGGUCUCUCCCUGUCACCUGAUUCAUCAUCCAAAUCUUGCUGCGUUUUAUCAUAAUUUGACCUCUCCUUGUGCUUCAGGUCCUUGUGGUGUCUCUUGUCUCUUGGUCUCUCCCUGUCACCUGAUUCAUUGUCCAAAUCUUGCUGUGUUUUAUCAUAAUUUGACCUCUCCUUGUGAUUCAGUUCCUUGUGGUGUUUCUUCCUUUUUAAUCUUCCCCUUUCACCUGAUUCAUCUUCUGAAUCUGUUGGUGCUUUUUCCUCAUAAUUUGACCUCUUAUGGCUACCAUCCUUUCUUCUUUCUUCUUCAGGAGUGACAUUUUCAGAUUGGUGUCUCGAUGAAGAAUGCGUGUGAUGCUUUGAACUCUUGUGAUGAAGUUUCUUUUCCUCUUUUCUAUCGUGUUUCUUCUCCUUGGGCUUUUUCUCUUCCACCUACCAAAAAAUCAACAAGGACAGCAGCAUGAUCAGCAAAAGCUUUGGUGCAGAAUCAUUGUAAAGAAUUUUGGUGUACAAUGUAGUUAAACAAAAUGCCAUAGAUAACAUAAUUUUGUUGAUUUCUUUCAAUAGAACUCAUAUCUUCAUCAUAUAUCAAUGUUCCAUAGAAUUUUUUUGGGGGAGAUGUCAUGUGGCUUCCAACCUAAUCACGCAAUCUCAGUUUUUAACUUGAUUCAUAAUCUCCUAUUUUUCAUCCUUGGUGUCAUUAGGCACGUUGGCCCCACAAAUCUGUCUAAACAGACAAGUUCAAGGUUGUUUAGUCAUUUUUAAUAGCUUGCUAUUUUCACUCUAGGGAAAUAAAAAUAUUCUAAGAAUUCUAUGGACAUUCAGAGGGUGUUUGGUGAUUUACUUAAUGACUUAAAGUGACUUAAUAACUUAAUUUCAAUUAUUAAGUAGAUUAAACAUGUUUGGUAAAACAGCUUAAUAUCACAACUUGAAAUUAAAAAUGACUUUACGUAUCAAGUCAAAAUAAUUAACUAAUUAUUAAUCUUAAAUCUUUUUUGUUUCAUUUACCCAUAUGUAAGGAGAGUAUAUUUAACAACCAUGACUCCACAUUUCUGAGUCAUUUUUUAUAAUAAAUAUUUUAAGGUUAUUUUAUAUAUCUACAAUACUUUAAAUAUAGAUAUUUAAUAAACAAAUUUAUUGCUUAAGAUCAAUAAAAAUAUAUAUUAGUUAAAAUUAAUGAUGAUAAAUAUCAAUUACAACUAAUGAGGGUAAAUGUGAAUUUGAUAACUUAAAAUAAAUUUUAAGUUAAUUUGAUCAAACAACUUAAACACUUAAAGUAAAAUAUAAUUAAUAGGUUCUAAUUUAACAACUUAAGAGCAAUUUCACUUAAAGUCAACUUAAGUCAUUAAGUAACAAACAUUAAGUUUUACCAAACGCCCACUCAAACUUGUACUUAUUUACACUAGUAUGCACUCUUCAAUAAAGUUUUUGUUCAUAAAAGAUAAUUACUUGUGAAAAAACAAUUACCAUACCAUCACAACUCCUGCCACUAAUAUUUAGCUUAUAAAUGGGAUAAACUUACAGAUUUGCGGAUCAUGGCCAUCUGAACUGGAUUGUUCUUAAUGUGUGCCAGGGCUUCUUGUUCUCGCUGUCGAAUCAUAAGCAAAGGAUCAGAAUGAAGUUUCCUCCAUGUAUCAUUGGCAGAUUGAGGUUUCUCCUCAAAUAAAGCUCCUGGCACGGAUGGUUGCUGCUGCUAAGACAUACCACAAAUUCAAAAUUCAAAAAACAGCUCUUGAAUAAAUCAUGUGCCUUUUAUUCAUCAAUCAAAAGGCUAAAGCACUGGCAAAUAACCGAACUUCAAAUUACCUUGGCAGAAGAAGAGGAGGCUACAUCGUUGCUGGGCAGGGCUUCCAGUGCUUUGAAUCCAUCAGAGCUGCCCUUUCCUACUGCUAAUCCAGAAUCAUAAAGAAAUUCCAAUCUCUCUUGCUUGCUGAAAAAUAAAGUAGUUAAAAAAGAAUUAAUUUCAUAAAUUAUUCAAAACACUUAAACAUCAUAAAUCCUAAUAUGCAAAACGAAACAAGAAACUAGAUUGAUUUCAUAAAUUUAACCCUAAGUUUAAAAUCAACAAAUUAUAUUAAAAAAAAAAAAAAGAAUAAUGUAAUGACAAAAUGGAACAUUUUCAUAGAUCCUACUGGAAUGCUGCAAACCCUAACCUUAACCAUAGCCAUAAAAUCGACAAAUCGUAAUCCAUUUCAUAAAGAAUUAAUUAGUCAAACCCAAACUUUCAUAAAUUCGUUAAACCAGAGAUAUUAUAAACCCUAACUAUAGGCCUAACCCGAAGCUUAAAACCAACCAUUUAUAAUGAAAAAAAUGGGUUAAUUCCAUAGAUCCUUCCAAACCAAAAUAUUGUGAACCCUAACCCUAACCAUAAAAUCAGCAAAUUAUUAUCCAUUUAAUAAAUCAUUCAAACCAGAAUUAUUGUAAACCUACCCCCUAACCCUAACUCUAACAUCAGAAAAUUAUAAUCCAAUAAAAAAAUUCUGCAAAGCCGAGAUAUUGUAUCAGAAACCCUAAUCCUAAUAUGAAGAAAGUAUGACAAAAAACAGCGAGAGUAACAUACGGAACGAGGCCAGCUUGUUCCUGGAGGAGCCGAUAUUCUGAGCGCUCCCUCUCCUCCAGAAUCUGUUUGCGGAGCUCUUCCAAUUUCUUCUGCUCAGCGUCAUGCUUCUGCUCAGCCUUCCACACGUUCUCUAUGUUCCGAAGACUCCCCGUGUGCCAUCCCUUCUUGUUCAAAAACUUCAACGCCAUAGAUCUUCAAUUUCAAUUCCAAUUCCAGAUUUUUCAGAGGUUUAGAUCUGCAAAUUCUGCUGCUUUUAUUUUCACUUCUUUCCUUUUUUCUUCCGGAGGUUCGCCCAUUUCGUUGUAAUCUUAUAUUUGCAAUCAUUUAUUUAUUAUUAUUAUUAUUAUUAUUUAAAAAAAAAAAAAAAAAAAACACUCUAGAGGUAGGGUCAAAUAGCACGUGCCUCUUAUACUGAAUUUAUCUGAUAUUUGAUUGUUGCAAAGUGUAUCGAGAAAGAGCUUGAUCAUGGAAGGUUUCUCGAUCAUCAAUAAAAAUAAAAAUGUUGUAUUUAGAUAUAUUUUUUAUUUUUAAAAAUAUAAAUUUUUAUUUUUUGUUUUAAAAAAUAUAAAUUUAUAUAUAAAAAUUAAAAACUUUUAUAUAAAAUGUAUUUUUAAACAUAUCAUAAUAAAAAAUUUUAAUACCUUAAUUAUUAUUAUUUUUUUUGUCAAUUUUCAAAAAUCAUUAAUUUUUAAUAUAAGUCUAUAAAGUUCCUUAUAAAAAUUACUAUUAUUUCUAUUUUUAAAAUUAAAAGGACACUUUUUCUUAAUACCCUAGUUUAAAAAAUAAAAAAUGCUACUACAUGUACAACAAAAAAUGAUAAAUAAUAUUUAGUAGGAAUAUUGUAUUAAAAAUAUUUCAUAUUUUUAAAUACAAUUAUUAUAUUGUCAUUAAUUGCAAAAAUGUCAACAAAUGUUAUAAAUUUGUAAAUUUUGAUAUUCUCGAUGGAAUCAUUCCAUGCUAUGGAUUUUUUUUUUAAAAAAAGCAUUAUUAAAACACAAUUGUUUAAAAAAUAAAUACAAAAAUACCACACUUUUUAUCAUUUUUUUUUAUUUUUACACUAAACUAUGUCUUUUUAAAAGACAAUUUCCUUUUUUAUCUUAAUACUUUUUAUAUUAAACUUCUCUUUCCAAAAUACAAAUUCAUUUUUUUUACAGGUAACUCACAUUUUCAAUAUACGAAAUCUACUCGAAAUUAAAAUGUAUCGUAAAUACAUAUAUAUAUAUAUAUAUAUAUAUAUAUAUAUAUAUCGCCCAUGAAAUCGUGACAAAUCCACAACGGUUUGGUAACACCAUUUACUUGUGUACCAAUUCCGUCUUCCACUCUUGCAUGAAAAUAUUAGGUAUUGAAUGUCAUUUUGUUCAUUUUCAAUUCAAGUUUCUCAUAUAUUCACUAAGAAUCAAUUGAUGAUAUUUUAUAUUAGCCUCUUGGGAAGGAGUUUUCUUGCUUUUACAUAGGGGGUGCAAUUUGGAUGGGUUAAUCGAGUUGAUGGCUAAUCCAAGUCCAACAUGAAUUAAAAAGCAAUUAAUCUAUGUUCAAUCCAACCCGAUCUCUAUCUCAAGGUACUCAAUUUAAAUUCAACUAACUUCAUUUUUCUAAACCUAAGUUGAGUUCAGGUUAUUCAAGUUUGAUUCGAGUUAAAUUUGGGUUAAUCAGAUUGUAUAAUUCAAAAUUUAUUUAUGAUAUUGUAGACCCCUUUUAUGGGGGGCCCGGGGGGAGAGUUUUUCUCUCUUUGGGCAUUUCUUUUUUAAACAAGGGGGGACCCUUUUCUCUAGGGAAUGUUGAGGCCUCGCGUCCCUGGUGAUCCACGUAAUUGCCAAAUGGAUGGACGCAUGAUCUUAACCAAUAUAGAUUCCUGGUUUAGUCGUUCCUGCAAAAGGCGUCCGGACAAGGUGUUCGGACACACCCUCCGAUGGUUUUGUCAGCCAUGGUUAGAGAGAUAAAUCAGUUGACCUUUUACUAGGUAUAGCAAGCUUACCUUCCUCCUUGUAUGAAGGUCUAUAUAUAUAGUGUUAGGAACUUUGUUUCCCUCUUUAAUGGUAGGGAGAUAUUUUGGCUUCGUCAUGAUGCCUCUAGGUGGUGGCAAGGUCAUCAUCACCCUACGGGCGGCUGACAGAGAUCGUGGGAGGCGCCGCAACUGUCAGAGGUCGUGGGAAGUGACUUGCCGUCACUUCAUUCCUGUCUUUUCACUCUGCAGGUGGCGGAACGUGGGCCGUGGCAGGUUGUUGGAAUGAUGUGCAAGACUUGCUUACUUCAGUCAACAAUCCGGACAAAACAUAUCCGGAUAGGAUAUGUCGGUCGUCCGGAUGUGAUAUGACGGUCGUCCGGAUGUGAUGUUUGCGAGUGUAGUGUGCCUCUCCCUGAGGGAGUCCGGAUAGGAGAAGCGCGCCACGUGCACUCUUGGGGGAAUCCGGAUGGGGGUAAUCCGGAUAGAAACGUGUGCCACGUGUCAUUAGGAAAUGUGUGCCAUGUGUCAUCAGGGGGAGGGGUCCCUACAGGGAAGACCGGGCUGCAAAGAGGAAAAGGAGUAGGGAUGACCAUAAUUUCAGGAGCCAUGCCUGCUGAUGAGGACACAGGAGAGUGGGUGAGAGGGACAGAAGGCUUUUGAGGUCAGGAGGAGAGGGAGGGAGGAGGAGAAAAAGGCGCUCUGGAGGUGGCAGACGAGCAGGAGGAGGGAAAGCCGAACCACAUUCAGCUAGAAAGCUCAGGUAUGGCCAUCUCCUCAAUUCUGAUCUUUAUUUUUCGCUAUUUUUGCUCAGUGCUGUGAAUCUAUUUUUCUCUGUUAUUGGGCUUGUUGAUUAUUGCUUUGGCACCAUUCUUUCCGAACCCCAUGCGCGACCACCCUCUGUAACUCUCCACUCUUUCAUCCUCACUACCCAUCAGAAACACCACCCUCCCAUUUCCAUCAUCUCUUUCACGUGCAUGGAGUCUCAUGCAUGGCUACCCAANNNNNNNNNNNNNNNNNNNNNNNNNNNNNNNNNNNNNNNNNNNNNNNNNNNNNNNNNNNNNNNNNNNNNNNNNNNNNNNNNNNNNNNNNNNNNNNNNNNNAAAGUCCAGCCCUACUUGAACUCCUCCGCCUCCAUUACCAACAGCAGGCUGAGCCUCACCUGGGCCUUGAAUCCCUCCGUCAUCCACCACCGUCGACGAGGAAGAAGAAACCCGGCUAGGCUUCGCCGGGCCUUGUUUGCGGCGUCGCCGGCCCUGCGUCAGGCGUGACGCAGCCCCGGUCAUCUGCACCGGCCAGCACCAUGUCCGACCAAGCUGAGAGUUCAGCCAUUGACACCGCCCGCUCGUCGCGAUGAGUGAGAGUCACCAUCCUCGCCGUCGUCUUCACCGGCAGCAUGCACUUCAAGGCCUUGGAGGGCCUCGCGACCGCCUCCAUUCAGUAGCCGCCUUCGUCCCGCCGACAGCGAGGGGUUCCGUCCGAGGGUAUUGCCCAGGCGGUGGAGUGGAGGGUGAAAAUUUUGGUCCCUUGGGCUUGCCCAUAUUGGCCUUGAACUUGGGCUUAAGUUGGUGCCUUGGGCUUGCCCAUAUUGGUGACAGGUUUGGGCUUGAGUUGGAGCCCAGGCCCAUAGUUGCUGAUGAAAGGCCCCUUUGCUCCCUAUUCUAGCCAUCUCCAUGGCCCAAGUCCAUGUUGGGUUAGCCCAUUUGGCUACAUUAUGUCUAAACAAGUUUUUUUAAUCUCUAACCUUAGUAAAUUAUUAACUUAUUCAUGUUUUUAUUUAUUUAUUAUUUAUUCUUAUUUUUACCUUAUUUUAUCUUCACCAAUUUAGUUAGCUCAACUUAAAGACAAUUAAAAGAUAAAUUAUUAUUCUUAAUUAUAUUUUUAUCUUGAAAUUUACACUAUUCAAUUUCACUAGUUUAAACAUUAUGAUUGUCAACUAUUAUUAUUAUUUCGUACGUAUCUAUUUAUCAUCUUUCAAAAUCUCACUCAUCAAAGUUAAAUUCUAAUCCUUCAAAAACCCCAUAUCUUAAUCUAAUAUUUCAAUAAUCCGUUUAAAUCUCGUUUUCAUCAAUUAAGAAUUAUUAUCAUAUAUUUAUCUAGUUAUUUGAAGUCUUACCCUUUCAAAAAUCUCAUGUCUUAAUUCAAUUUUUCAACAGUCCGUUCAAACCUUAUUCGUCUAAAUGUUAUUUUCGUUAAUUAGUAUUAUUAUCCUAUAUAAGUUUAUUUAUUUAAAAUCCAAUCCUUCAAAGAUCCAAUGCCCUAAUUUCAUUUUCCAAGCCCUGAAAAUUCCACUAUUCGUCUAAAUGUCAUUUUCGUUAAUUAGGAAUUAUUGUCUCAUAUUUAUUUAUUCAAAGUCUAAUCCUUCAGAAAUCCAAUGUCAUAAUUUAAUUUUUCAAUCCUAAAAAUUCCACUAUUUGUCUAAAUGUUGUUUUCGUCAAUUAGAAACUCGAUACUUGUUUACCUCUUUUAAAAAUCUCAAUCAUUGAACUUAAUUCUCGACCCUAAAAAUCCCACUAUCCUUUUUUAUUCGUUUAAACGUUGUUUUCGUUAAUUAUUAUUAUUACCCUAUAUUAGUUUAUUUAUUUAAAAUCUAAUUCUUCAAAAACCUCAUGUCUUAAUUUAAUUUUUCAAUCCUAAAAAUUCUACAAUUCGUUUAAAUGUUAUCCUCAUAAAUUAGAAUCAUUAUCCCAUAUCUAUUUAAAACCCAAUCUUUCAAAAACCCCAUAUCCUAAUUUAACUUUCAAUCCCAGAAAUUCCAUUAUCCGCCUAAAUGUUAUUUUCAGUAGUUAGAAUUCUUAUCCCCUAUCUAUUUAUUUACUUAAGGUCCAACUCUUCAAAAAUUCAACGUCCUAAUUUAAUUUUUAAUCCUAAAAAUUCCACUACUCAUUUUCUAUCCGUUUAAAAUAUUGUUUCCGUUAAGUAGUAUCAUUAUUCCAUAUUAUCUAUUUAAUCUAAUCGUUAAAGUUCAAUUCAUCAGAACCCGACUUCCAAAUCUAAUUUCCAACCUCAAAAGCUCCACCGCCCACAUAUCGCCGUUUAAUGAUUAUUCUCGUUAUCAAUGUUAUCCCAUCUACUCACUUAUUCAGUUAUUCAUAUAUCAAAGAUCUCAUCUCUAAAUAAAUUCUCAAGUUCUCAAUCUCUAAAUUCACAUCUUCAAAUCUCUAAAAUUCCAUCUUUCGCAAUUAUUUACCUAAACUUUAUUACUUCACCUUCGUUAUUAUUCCAUCCCUUUACUUAUUCACUCAUCCACUUAUCCCCCCAUUUAAAAUCCCGAACUCUCAAACCAUUUUCAAAGUUUCCAACCUCGUUCAAAUUUAAUUUCUAAAAAUUCUCAUUCCCGCAUUUAAUUCCUGAAAGUCCGAUCUUCAAAUAAACUCUAAAAUCCCAAUUUUCUUUAAAUAACCUUCGAGACUCCAAUUUUUCAAAUGAAUUUCAAAAAUCCGAUUUUCUCUCAAAUAGCUUUAAUUCCAUUUUGGUCUUCAAACAAUCUUCUGCUCCUCUUGAUUUUAAUAAGCAGGAAAGAGUUUUCCGUAAUUCCGAAUAAUGGAAUUUAUGGGAUUAAUUCAUGCAAUAUAAAUCGGGCUCUGGUGAGGGCCCAACAUAUGUGAUUUCCUUAUGAUUGAUUGAUUGUUUGUCUGAUUUAAUUGCUAUGCAUGAUUGAUUUUAUUCUGCUCUAUGACAUGCUCGAAAUUAUUCCUUAAUUGUGCACUAACCUCACUUUUUGAUAGCGCUUUAUGGAUCACUGCCCAGGUACGCAUCCACAUCUACUCGGGUCAUUUUCUGUAUGCAUGUUUAGAUUCUCACAUGUGCAUGAUCACUCUGAGUAUUCAUUGAUUCCCUCAUCAAUUGCCAUGAUUGCUUCAUGUUAUUAGUAGAGACCCAACUUUAGGGACUUAGAAGGGUGAUAUGGUCUUUACCGUACCUUUCUGAUAAGUAACCUGACCCCUGAACCCGAUCCGGUUUUUCGUAGACCACCUUUUCCAAAUAAGGAGUCACACUUAGGGUUUUUAUUUCUUAUUUUGUUUACCCUUUUAAAAAUAAAACAAAAAUAAGUGGCGACUUGAUCGCUCGGAUUUUGUCGUUUAUUGGAUCAAAACAAAAUUUAUAACCUAAUUCACUAUUUUAUAGCAAUUUGUACCCGAUCAAAAAGUGGUUUUAGUACAAACUACUGUAGUAUAGUGGUUUUUAGGUAUCGUCCACAAGGAUGGAUUAUUCUUGGUAAUUAAGGCUUGAAUGAGAUGAUAAGAAAUGAUUGUGAUCAAAUGAAAUUGAUUUGAAAAUGCAUGAUAAAAUUCCAAAAUAACAAUGUAUUCAAAUUGAGAGGAAAAUGAAGUGUAAAAGAGAAGAAAAUUAAUAAGAGGUGAGAUUCUCGGAGUUAGGAUUUUCUAGAAAGCAAUUUCCAUGGUGAAUAAAUGUUGAGAUCUAAUUUUCAUCAAGUUAGAUUGAAAACCUAAAUUUUCUUCAAAACCGAUUUUUGAUUUAGCUUUAGAUCUAGAUCUAAUUUCUCUUCAAAUUAGGUAAUAUAAUCCAAGAGAUCAAUUUGAAUCAUAUAUUCAAUUCAUCUUAAAUUAUCUUCCAAUGAUUCACACAAUGCAACUAUUCAAUCUCAUCAAAUCUAGCAUUAAGAAUUUGAUGAAUCUAUCUAGCUUGCAUUGUAGUAAUCAUCCAAGACAAUUUGAAGAGAAAAAUCCCCAAAUUUCAAUUAAUCAAUCAAUUGGAUCAAAUUACCUUAGCAAUUCAAGCUCAAUUCUCUAAUUCACCAUAGAUCUUGCCUCUAGAUCCUCCCUCCUCCAAGAAAACGAGAUUUAGCCACUCAUGCUUGGAGAUUUGAUCUCACAAGACAUGUUUGGCUACCGAGAAAAUAAAAGAAACUGAAGGAAAGUGGAGAAUUAUAUAGAGAGAAGAAGUAUGAAAAGUUCUACAAUUAGAAAAUGUAAAAAGGUCUAAAAAGUCCCUCAAUAAGUAAAAUCCCGUUUCUAUUUAUAGGCCAAGGUAAAAAGGACACUUGACAACAUUUUAGAGGUCUUCCGGAUGCUUCUUCAUCAAGGAAUCUGGAGAGAAUGCAUUUUCGCACGAGCCCUUAGCAAUCUCGCAUGAUGGUGCGAAGUGGAAAACCUUUCAGCUGCAUUUUCGUCUUGCUGGAGCAUUUCGCAUGACUGCGAAAUCACUUUUCACAUUGCCCUUAUGUGCUGCAGCCAACAUCCUUCCUGUUUCAUUUCGCAUGACUGUGCGAAAAUUUCGCAUGGUCAUGCGAAAUCGAAAAUCAUGCUAUUCCGGCUCCUCUUUGCAAUCUCUCUCAUUUCUUCAUGUUUAAUCCAUCUCCACCACCUUCAAUUAAGCUCCAAAGCUUGGUCCAAGUGCAUUUCAUUGCUUCUUUCAUUAUGCAUUUGGAUUCUCAUCAACUUCAUAUAUUUUCUUCAACUUGAUUAAUCUCUUUUGCCACCAAUAUAUCAAAAUUAUACCUUGAAAUGACUCCUAAACUUCAUAAAACUUGUUAGUAACUCUUGCAAAGGCAACAACAUGCUAAUUGAGUGUUUUAGACAUAAUUACUACUCAAAAGAUGUGAAAAUCAUGAGAAUUAUUAUCUAAAAUAUGUUCUUUUUGAGUAGUAAUCACGACUCCAAGUCAUUUUCUUAAUCAAUAAAAACCAUUUUUCAAACCAAAAUCGAGCUCGCCUUCGAGUGGGAAACACACGAGCCGAAAUGUGGGGUCCACAGAUAUGUUUAAAAAAAAUUAUAUAUAUUUAUAUGAAAUUUAAAUGAUAAAUAGGAAAAAAAAUUCAAGAUAACAAAAAAAAACAAAGUUUCAUUUAUAUAUUUUUCUAAAAAAUGAAAAAUAUAUGUUGUAAUAUAAUUUGAUAUUUUAAAAAAUAUAUAUAAAAAGAAAAUGAAUAUUAUUAUGUAAGAUAAUAUGCAUUAUAAAUAUUAUAAAAACAUUAAAUCAAGUUCAGAUUGUCUAAACCUUAAUCAAAACUCAAUUCAAAUUGAGUUCAAAUUGAAAAAAUCUAACACAAACUCAAUCUAAGUAUUAAAAAUGAUUGUCUAAAGCCGUUUAAAUUUUGAGAUGGGUUUGGAUUAAUUUGAGCCAACCCACGCAAGAUACACCCCUACUUUUACAUUCCAAGCACAGUAUAUUGAAUAUAACCAAUAUUUUGUAAGAGCAUGUAUGUCAUUUUAUUUAUUUUUUCUUCCAAAAUCAUCCAAAGAAUUUGUUAUGCUAAGGUACUAAAUUGGUAUCAAUCAAAUUUCUAAUUUUCAUGAUUAAAAGUGUACCAAAAAAUCUAAAUUGUUUUAUGAAGGUACAAACAAUAGGGUUACGUACAAAGAAUAUGACUAUAUAUAUUAUAGCCUCUCUCAUAUACACAUGCAUGCAAGUAUAGAGAGGUAUAAAAUGGACUUUAGAAGAUUAAAAAACUAAAGGUUUUUUUAACCUAAUUAAAAGUUGAAUUUGGGAUCUAGUGCUUAAAUGCUCUAAUUAAGUGCUUAAAUGCUUAGAAUACUCAAAUAUUGAUUGAGAACGCUCAAGUAUUAAACAAGAGGUGCUCAAGCGCACUUAUCCCACACUCAAGCUUUCGAAGGCCAAUAUGCCAUAAUUCGCAAUAUUUUGAUAAACUCAUUUUAGAAAAUUGAAGAUUUAGUAAUAGUCCAAAUCUAUUAGGUUGUAACCUUAUAAAUUUGCCAUAAAAUUUCAAUUUCUUCUUGAUGCAUAUAUAGUCUAAAAAGUCAAUACAUUUUAUGAUACUUGAAACUCUUAAAGAUGUUGGAUUUCGUUUUUCUUUUUAGGUUUACAAAAGAAAAUCACAUCCCCUCAAGCUGUUGAGAAAUUAACUAAAUAAGCAUAGUAAUAUUGCAUCAUGGAUGUGAGGUUAGAGAUAGGUAUUGGGAUGUAAUCUAAUAGAGUAGUAAUUAUCGAGUAAAUUUAUAUACAUAAUUCUUAAUAAUUAAUGGGUUAUAAAUUUACGAUCUCUAAUCUCAUAAUCUUACUGUAGACCCUCAUUUUGGUCUAGUUUUUUUUUGUUAUUUUUGGAGCACUAUUUUCAUAUUGGUGGCAUCUUGGAGGAGUGGGGAGGCCGACUUCUUCAAGUGCUGAGAGCCGUAUGCAUGGACGCAUGGCCAAUGACACCCCCACCUUGCCUUGGUGGUGGUUAGGGAUGGAGACAUAUAUGAGCAAGGAGCAAAGGAAUAGUGGGUGAGCAGAAAAGUGGGUGAAAACUGGACUAAAAAGGAAACGAAUGACGUUUUUUUUAGAAGGGGAGUUGUAGAAAACUGAGAGGAGAGGGAAUGGAAAAAAGAGGUGAUAUUCGGAGAGAAAAACAGAGGAAUUGGGAUAGAGAUUUUUAGUUCCAGAAGGAGGGGGGUUUCAGCAAGGAAGAGACUAGAUAAAAAAAAAAAAAAAAAAAAAAAAAAAAAAAAAAAAACAGAAGCUUGGAGAGCAAGAUUUCUAGAGAGAAAAAAAAUAGGGGAUUUAGAGGAGCAAGAGGAAAAAUGAGGAAUUCGUGAGUUGGCUAGCUCAUUUUUGCUAGCAAUGAGCUCUCCUAGAUCUGCAGGAGUGUGAAAGUUGAUUUUCAUGGAGGGAACUAGAGGUGGUGGUCCCUCGGUAGUGUCACCUGUAAUCCAAUGGAAAACUGAUGUGUCCAGGCUUUUUCAGUAUUAUCUGGGUAAAACUGCUCCUCACCCGGUAGCUGGAAACUUCGAAUGAGACUUUACUACGCACAAAGGUUUAGAUGAAUUCAAGCAUUUCAUUCGCAGUCUCCCUAAGUUUAAGUUCUGGUAUGUGUUUCUUAUUUUGUUAGUUUGGUGUCUUGCAUUAUUUUGCUUUAAGGUUUCAUUUAUUAGUUGUUUUCAUUUCAGCAUGCAAUAUCCUAUCCUAUGUACUUCAUUUCAUUAUGGGUGGUGUUAAUUCAAUUGGUGGUUUGUAUCAAGAGAGCACUUUGAUUCCAUUCAUGUUUGGAUUGUUGAUGUUGUAAGUAAUCUGUAAUUUGUGCUCAGUGAUGGCAAGAUAUGGCCCAUAUCCACCAGCCGAUUGCAUGUCCAUGACUUAGUGGAUCACUCAUGCAUCACCUUGGAUAUGGAUAUGUAUCUUGUGGCCCAUAUCCACCAGCCGACCCUUGCCACCUUCAACCAUUAUACAUGAUGGUUAGCUACAUGGGCUUCAGCACUACCAGUGUCCAACCUCUUGCUUUCUACCACCUCCACCUAGCACCUCGAACCCUACUCAUGCAUGACCACCUUUGCUAUGCAAUCCCAAACAUGCCCAUAUUCCUUUUUGAUCCUUUAUGCUCACACAUUUUUACAAAUUAUUUUUUUGAAUGAUUUUCAUAAUUCCAGACUUUCGAAUAAUCUUAUUUUCACUUCAAUUCUCGAAAUAAUUUUCUAAGGUUCCAAUUUUUAAAGUUUCCGAAAUUUCAUUCUUGUAAUAAUUUUCCAAAGUUCCAAUUUUUAAAUUUAAUUUUUCGAAAUUCCUUUUUUCAAAUAGUUUUCGAAAACUACCAUUCUCAAAAUUUUCCAAAAUUCCAAAAGUUCAAAUUUAAUUUUAAAAAUACCAUUUUUCAAAAUUUCCAAAAUUCCAAAUUUAAUUUUAAAAUGUCAUCUUCAAAUAAAUUUUCCAAAAAUUCUAAUUUCCAAAUUUAACUUUUAAAAUGCAGUCUUCAAAUAAAUUUUCCAAAAAUUCAAAAUUUCAAAUUUAAUUUUUAAAAUGCCAUCUUCAAAUAAAUUUUCCAAAAUUUCAAAUUCCAAAUUCCAAAUUUAAUUUUUAAAAUGCCAUAUUCAAAAUUUAAUUUCUAAAACUCGAAUUCCUAAAUAUAAUUUUCAAAAUUCCAAUUUCUUUCAAAUUUAAUUUCCAAAAUUCCAAUUCUUAAAACUAAUUUUUAAAACUCCAAUUUUCAAAUAAUUUUCGAAAUUCCAAUUUCUUUCAAAUUUAAUUUCCAAAAUUCCAAGUCUUAGAUUUAAUUGUCGAAACUCCAAUUUUUAAAUAAUUUUCGAGAUUUCAAUUUUCAAAUAAAUUUCAAAACUCUAAUUUUCUUUCAAAUAUAUUAAUUCCACUCAAGUUUUUCAAAUAUUUUUUAAUUCUACAACUUUUUCAUCCUUAAUUAGAGUUUUAGGUCGCCAAAAAUCCUAAUUUUAAUAAGUGUUAUUAUCAUUUUGGUAUGCACUUAUACAAAUUUUCUUCAAUUUUUAAAUAUUUUUUUGUUUCUUUUGUUUUUUUUUUAAAUAAGCAAAAAUGAAUUUUUCAUAAUUCCAAAAUAAUGGAAUUUGUUAGACUAAUUCAUGCAAGCUAAAUUGGGCUUUGGUGGAGGCCCUACAUAUGAGUUUUCUCUUCUGAUUGUCAACUGUUAUGCUUAAUGAAUAUUGUUUGAUAUUUUUCUUGCUCUAUGCAUGUGAUAUAUUUUGUAUUCAUUAUUAUCCACUAUUUAUGUUUCAUGAUAGUGCUUUAUUACCUAUUGCCAAGGUACGCUAUCUCUCUCACUCUCACUCUCACUCUUACUUUGUUUAUUUAUUCAUUAUCAUAACUUGCUUUUGAUUUAUGAUCAUUUUGGUAUCCAUCAAUCUCCUAGUUAAUUGUCAUGUUUGCUUUACCUUAUUUAGUAGAGACUCGUUUCUAAGGGGCUUAAAGGGGUGCUAUGGCCUUUACUGUACCUUCCCAAUAAGUAACCUGACCCCCGAACCCAGGUUUGGUUUUUCACAGACCGUCUUUUCUAAAUAAGGAGUCACACUUAGGGUUUUAUUUUUUAUUUUUUAUUUUUUUUUCAUUUAAAAAUAAAACAAAAAUAAGUGGUGACUCCAAGUCAUUUUCUAAAAAAAUAAAUCAUUUUUCAAAUAAAAAACGAGUUUUGCCAUCGAAUGGGAACGCAUCGUGCGAAAUGCGGGGUCCACAAAAUGGCGACUCCACUAGGGAUUGCUAGAGGGUUUAACUUGAACGUAAGUUGAGGAAAAUGUGGCAUUUGAUUGGUCAGUCAAUGGGUACCCACCUCUUUUUAUGUUUUUGUUUGCUUGACUGUUGAUUGCAUAUUGAGAGCUCUUGGUAUCAUUAUCCUUGAUGCAUGCCUGGUUAUUGAAUUUGUUUGAGGCAUUGACAUGUUGAUUAUAUUGAUUGAUCAUUUCGCCUAUCCUCACAUAUUAACUCUCAUUGUUGUAUGAUUACUCUGCUCACCUUGACUUGUAUAUUCUUAGUGUUACUUAUAUUUUUCAUUUUUAUAUCUUGACUUUUUUUGUUAUAUACUAUCUUGAUCACCUCUGAGCAUGCCAUUUAUUCUUGUUAGAUAUUCAUCAUGAUUAUCAUAUUUCUUACUUAGCUUAUGUGUAGAUUUGGAUGAUAUACAUGUGUUUUGCAUGAUUGUCUGUUGCAUGACUUCUCUCAUCUACAACAUCAGUAUCAACCGAUUUAUGUUCAACAACCUUACAUUGCUCAGACUAGCAUACAACCACAACCACCACAUCCGAGAGCCACUACUCCUCUGCUGUUUAGACCAUAUGCAUAGAGGCCUGUGAGACAGUUCAUUCCAUUGGGCAUGACUUUGACUAGAGCUUUUGAGAAGGUCAGAGACGUUGGUGUGAUUGUUCCUUUGGCACCACGACCCUUGCCGUAUCCUAUUCCUCCUCAUUUCCGCUUACAUGAGCAUUGCUUAUAUCAUUAGAUUCAAGGGCAUGAUACUAAGCAUUGUGCGGCGCUCCAUCAUGCGAUACAAGACUUGAUUGAUUUAGGGUUGGUCAACUUGUCUGGGCCAUGUAUGACCACCAAUCCCCUACUUGCGCAUUCUACACAUGCAGUUCCCUAUCUUCCUAGUCUUCAAUAGAUUGUUUUGAAUGUUGAUGAUAUUGAUGGUCAUAUGGUAUUUUGGGAUGUUCUGGGUAAGGACUUGGUUCAAUUGACAUAGGUACAUCACUUUGCAGCAGUUUAGCUCAGAACACUUUUCAUUUUGAUUAUGGUCGUCAUCAGAGUCAUUUUUGUUUUGUCGAGUCCAGUUUUUAUUUCAUUAGAGUUAUUUUUGUUUUGUUGAGUCCAAUUUGGUUCAGAGUCAUUGUUUAUAGUUCAUGUUGAGAGUCCAGUUCGUUUGUAGUCCUUUAUCGCUUCACACAUAAUGUACUCAUUGGUUCAUUUAGUGAUGUGAUCUUUUUAUUCUAAGUAUGUGUUAUUCUUUUUCAGGAGUAUGCUUUACAUAUCUCGCCUUGAUGUGUGUUAUGUUUUUUAUAUGAGACAUCUUUUCACUUAUACAUCAUGAUCACUUUGGCCUGACCUAUCAUGGAGGAUAUUGAGCCUAUUGACCUAGGAUCAGAAGAUCAACCUAAAGAAUUCGAGACUGUGACCCAUUUCACCUUCUGAUCAGAGCAAUACCAUAUCCAUAUCCAUAUCCAUAUCCUGACUUUGUAGACUUGAUGACCUACCCAUUUUGAACCUGACAUGACACCACCCCUUGGUACCAUUAUACGACUUCACUACUUUUGUUCAUCUUAGCAAACUAUAGUGUCAUUGCCUAUUCUUUCUAUCAUUUUCUUUGAUCUGACUAGAUAGAGUCCGAGAUGGUUAGACCUGAGGUGAACUUUGAAUGAUGAUAGAUGGAUCAUGAUGAGAGAGUGGUUUGAUUGCUUGAUGAUAUUACUGAGAUAGAGGGGUUAUCAUGGAGUAUCUAGAUCUGAGUCAUUGCACAUGACUUCAAAUAGUCGAGAUGACUAGAAAUGGUGAUUUUAUGAGACAAUGGUGAGUGGCUUAUAAUGAUAGAGUGAGGUGAUUGUCAGAGGGCUUUGAUGAUUAUCACAAAGCAUCAGUGGGAGCUUUCACACGAUUUCAGAGGAGUUGACAUGGUUGUGUUUGAUAAAUGUCAGUCUUUAGUAUUAACCAUGUGAGAUCUUGAAAGCACGAUGUUCGAGGUUGUGGUCAAAGGAUGGGUGGUCAUCAUUUCAUGAGCCCAUUUACCCUAUCACCCUUACAUAUAUAGUUACCCGUUGCUAGCCUAUUGAGCCUCACAUGAGCACCAUAGCCUUUUCUUUCAUUACCUUAUUUACCUAUUACAUCAGUUUGAGGACCCUACAGUGCUUGCAUGCUUUGAUUAAAUACGUCAUGAGUUCUAGACCUGAUAUACAUAUUCAGGCCUCAUCUCUCACUCUUCAUUGUGAUAUUUUCCACUUUGACAUCAUCUCAUCAUUUUUUUCAGCAUCCCAUAUCAGCAUUUGUGAUAUUUGUUCUCUGUCUUUUAUCUCAUCAUUGCUUACUCAACAUUAUCUUUAUUUCACUUUGAGUGGUGGUUUUUCACACGUCACUGCAUGGAGGAUUGUCACAUUCUUUUCCCUCGUUCACCCUAUGGGCAGUGGUUCAAAGAUCUCAGUUUGAGAGGUUGUCUUGUUAGUAAGGAUUCAUGUUACAUCCGUAUGUGGAGAGGGUUUGAUCAUUUGAGUAUGUAUUUUCAUGGGAGGUAAUUCAUUAUUGAUUAGAGUAUGCACAAAAAAAAAAAGAUAAAAUAUAAUGCAUUCUUCAUUGUAUCAUUCUCCAUUGAGCACAUGUAUAAAUGUGCUGGUUUGCUUCAUUAGGUUUAUGUGUUAGAGAGAGUUCGUAUAAUAGGUCACAGUGACCCUCAUUUCUUUAUGAGAUUCAUCUUGAUGUAUAUUUUAGGUGAGAGUAUGAGUCACCUAUUCGAUUUUUGUGAGAGAGGCAAACGACUUUUCUUUAGGAUUUUUUUAUCAUUGCCCUAUUCAUCAUUACAUCCAAUUUUUUGUGACUUAUCUCCAUGCUUUGAUGCAGGUUGACCAUCACUCACUUUCCUAUCUUCUUCUAUCUUUACUUUAUUCCUCCAUUUCACUCUACCCAUUUUGAUUUCUUUAUUUUCUCAUCCUGCUUGAUGUUUGACUUAGGUUGAGCAUCCACACAUUAUACUUGCUUAUUUGAUAUGGUCAUUCCUUUAUCAUCAUUUUUCAUGUGGGAAUCCUUAGGUCCACGACUCAUGAUGUUUUCUAUGCAUUGCAUCUCAUGCAUGAAGGGUACGAGGAUUAUAUCAUUAGGAUCUUUGAGCCUAGUUUCCUUUCGUUUUUUUCACCUUAUUACCUUAGCUUACGUUACGUCCCAUGUCUUAAGACCACCCUAAGGCUAUGACUUCACACAUUGUGUUUGAUGGCUCACACAUGGGCAAUACUUGAGAUUGGUUGGAGAUUAUUUCUUGGAGCAUGAUGGAUGGGGAGUUGAGGUGAUAGAUUACAUUGGGGCCUACCUCGCUCAUUGAUUACAUUUUCUUUUGGGAUGAUGUCUUACCUUGAGGCAUAGUCAAUUCACUUCUUCACUUGUAUUAUGAUGGAUUAAGAGCUGUGUGAUGACCCUACACUAGGGCAUAGCCAUUUCAAAGAGCACUUUUAUUGGAAAUACAAGCACUCUACUCGAUAUUUUACAUUGGGACACACCCCACUCAUCGAUGGUUGAUUUUUGAGAUGACGGUUUAUUUUGAGACAAAAUUGCUUUGGAGAUUGUGCAUGGUAGACAUAGCCACUCUAUUGCUUCUUGUGGAGCAUAAGAUGAUUAGGGUCUGUUGAGGUUAUACUGGUAUAUUCAUUUUUAGCAUUGAGGGAUGAGAUUGACCUUAUUAUGAUAACACAUGUUGAGACAUAGCCCUCUCAUUGGCGAUGGACUUUGAUUUAUCUUGGAGCGUAGACACUUCAAAUGGUUUAUACUGGGGCAUACCCACUUCAUUCACAUUCAUAGAGCACGAGGAUUUUGAUUCAUAUGGAUUAUGUUGAGAUGUUUCCAUUUUUGGCAUCAGGAGUAGAGAUUGAUUGAUUUGGUGAUGUACACUAGGCAUGAUCUUCCUCAGCAGUUGUUGACUCAGAUACAUUACUUUAUACUGAGACGUAGCCGGGAUGAAAAUUAUUUUUCAUUGGAGCAUAGUCACCCUAUUGGACCCUUUACACUAGGGCAUAUCCGUCUUUUGGAGGGAAAUCAGAUUGAUUCUUUACGUUAGAGCAUCUAACGAGUGAUAUGGAGAUCAUUAGAUUAUUUCAUGUUGUCCUCAUUACAUACUUGAGCAUAGCCACCUUGUUGGAUGUUUUGACAUCGAGACUUGACUUUCUGUUAUGAUAACUGUUUUUGAUGGAUUAUGGAGCUAUUGACACCUUGGGUUUAGUUUCUCGGCAUACUUAGAUGAUCUUGGAUACCUACCUACCUUUCAUUUUGUACUCAAAUAUUUCACCCUUGAUACUUUCAUGCUUUAUAUCUUACCAGAACUUGACCAUUACCUUCUUUUAUCCCACACAUCUCACCAUGACACAUGACCUCACACCGCUCUCUCGAUUAUGAGAAAAUGUAGAUCAAUCCUCAAUUUUUUUUGUUGUGCUUUCAUAUAUCUUGUGGAAUUUAGGUUCAACAUCUUCCAUGAUGGUAGAGUUUGACAGUUUGUUAAUUUAUUGGUGACGAUGUUUCCAUUUUAACAGUUGACAUGUUGAGUUUUAACUUGCUUACAUUUUGCAUUCUGUGUAUUAGUCAUCUUUAUUUUUGUCUACCAGUCUGUUUUUGUUUGUCAGUAUGGUAUCCCGAUACAUGGUCAUGUUUGGCAUUCCCAUUUGAGGUUGGACAUAUUCAUUACAUGAUGGAUGAGCAUAUUUCAGAGUAUAGUAGUUUUAAGGCAUUUUGUAUAUCUUUUUUCUCACUGUUGCAUACUGGGGCAUACCCUCUUUCCAUGGGAUCAUCAGACAUUUCAUAGACUUCAUUAUUUUUUGACCUAGUUGUCGAUUCUUAUGAGUUGUCAUACUGAGGAAUAUCCUCUCCUGUCGAGUUUGCUUGCAUCGUUAUUCUAGUUAUCCUUUGGCUUUGGGCCACUUGAUCAGAUCACCAUCAUGUCAGUUCAGUUUGAGUUUUCAAGGCCACACCUAUAUCGGUUGGUCAUCUUCAUGUCAUUUUCCAUGUGAGUUUGAGUUUUUGGGACCACACCUAUAUCGAUCGUUCAUCAUUUUGUUAGUUUGAGUUUGGGUUUUUGGGGUUGAAUCUAUAUCGAUUGACCAUUUUCCUGUCAGUUUGUGUUCAGUUUGAGUUGGGACCACACCUAUAUCGAUUGGUCAUUGUCAUGUUAGUUUAGUUUGAGUUUUUAGGGUCGUACCUAUAUUGAUCGGUCAUUCUUCAUGUUAGCUCCAUGUCAGUUUGAGUUUCAGGAUCGCACCUAUAUCAAUUGGUCAUCUUCCUAUCAGUUUGAGUUUGAGUUUUUGAGUUGGGACCGUACCUAUAUCAAUCGGUCAUCUUCAUGUCAGUUCCGUGACGGUUUGAGUUUCAGGACCGCACCUAUAUCGAUUGGUCAUUUUUCUUAUCAAUUCAAUUAGUGUUUCAGGGUCGCACUUAUAUCAAUCGGUUAUCUUCCUAUCAGUUUGUGUUUAGUUUGAGUUAGGACCGCACCUAUAUUGAUCGGUCAUUCAUCUUGUCAGUUUGAGUUUGAGUUUUCGAGUUGGGAUUGUACCUAUAUCGAUUGGUCAUCUUCAUGUCAGUUUCGUGUCAGUUUAAGUUUCAAGACCGCACCUAUAUCAAUCGGUCAUUUUUUUUGUCAGUUCAGUUAGAGUUUCAGGGUCACACCUAUAUCAAUCGGUUAUCUUCCUAUCAGUUUGUGUUCAGUUUGAGUUGGGACCAUACCUAUAUCGAUCGGUCAUCAUCUUGUCAAUUUGAGUUUGCAUUUUUAGGACCGCACCUAUAUUAAUCGGUCAUUUUUGUUGUCAGUUCAGUUAGAGUUUUAGGGCCGCACUUAUAUCAAUCGGUCAUCUUUCAAUCAGUUUGUGUUUAGUUUGAGUUGAGACUACACCUAUAUUGAUCAGUCAUUCAUCUUGUCAGUUUGAGUUUGAGUUUUCGAGUUGGGAUCGCACCUAUAUCGAUCAGUCAUUGUCUUGUUAGUUUGAGUUUGUGUUUUUUGGGUCGUACUUAUAUCAAUUAGUCAUCUUCCUAUCAAUUUGUGUUCAGUUUGAGUUGGGACCGCACCUAUAUCGAUCGAUCAUCGUCUUGUCAGUUUAAGUUUGCAUUUUUUAGGCCGCACCAAUAUCAAUCGACCAUCUUCCUAUCAUUUUGUGUUCAAUUUGAGUUGGGACCACACCUAUAUUGAUCAGUCAUUCAUCUCCUUAGUUCAGUUAGAGUUCGGGGUCGCACCUAUAUCGAUCGGUCAUCUUCUUGUCAGUUUGUGUUCAGUUCGAGUUGAGACCGCACCUAUAUCGAUCUGUUAUCUUCAUGUUAGUUCAGUUUGGGUUUUGAGGCUGCACCUAUAUCAAUCGGUCAUCUUCCUAUCAGUUCAGUUCAGUUUGAGUUUUCGGGAGCGCACCUAUAUUUAUCGAUCAUUCAUCCUAUCUUGACAAUUCUGCUUGAGUUUUGAGGCCGCACCUAUAUCAAUCGGUCAUCUUCUUAUCAGUUCAGUUCAGUUUGAGUUUUCAGAACCGCACCUAUAUCGAUCGGUUAUUCAUCAUGUCUUGUCAAUUGUGCUUGAGUUUUUGGGACUGCACCUAUAUCGAUUGGUCAUUUGUCUUAUCAGUUUGAGUUCAGUUUGAGUUUCUAGGACCGCACCUAUAUCGAUCGGUCAUUCAUCUUGUCAGUUGAGUUGAGUCUUGUUCGGCUUCGAGUCACGCCUACCUAGUUGAGUCUAUUCAGCCUUGAGCCACACCUUAUCAUUUCUUUGAGUUCUUUUUCCAUGUGUCGAUCACUUCUUGUCUCAGUCAUCUUUAUAUUGUUCAUUGUAUCAUGGUCCAGUGUUAUUCAUUGCAUAUACACUCAUCGCAUCAUCCACAUUUUUGGCUAGAGUCUCACCUUUCUAGUAUGUGCCCUUAAUUUUGAGCUUAUCGCGUUAUGUGUUUAGACCAAAAUUUGAAAUCUUUUCUAUUCUUCGGUACAGUUCACUUCAUUCCAUUCAUCUCUCACAUAUCUGUGAUCCAUUCAUUACACUUGUCAUCUCUAUCGACGAAUGACAUAUUUGUAGAUCCUCAUUUUGGUAUAGUUUUUUUGUUAUUUUUAGAGCACUAUUUUCAUAUCACCCCGGGAAAGCUGGUGACAUCUUGGAGGAGUGGUGGAAGGGGAGGCGGCUUCUUUAAGUGCUGAGAGCUGCAUGCAUGGAUGCAUGGCCAAGGACACUCCCACCUUGCCAUGGUGAUGGUUAGGGAUGGAGACAUCUUUGAGCAAGGAGUGGGGUGAGCAAAAAAAGUGGGUGAAAACAGGACUGAAAAGGGAACGAAUGACGUUUUUUUUAGAAGGAGAGUUGCAGAAAACGGAGAAGAGAAGGAACGAAAAAAAGAGGUGAUUUCCAAAGAGAAAAACAGAAGAAGUGGGAUGGAGAUUUUUAGUUCCGGAUGGGGGAAGGUUUUUCAAUAGGAGAGAGACCAGAUAAAAUAAAAUAAAAUAAAAAACAAAAGCUUGGAGAGCAAGAUUUCUAGAGAGAAAAAAAAAAAAGGAUUCAGAUGAGCAAGAUGAAUGAGGAGGAAUUCGUGAGUUAGCUGGCUCAUUUUUGCUAGUGAGGAGCUCUCCUAAAUAUGCAGGAGUGUGAAGGUUGAUUUUCAUGGAGGGAACCAGAGGUGGUGGUCCAUCGGCAGUGUUACUUGUAAUCCAAUGGAAAAUUGAUGCAUCCAGGCUUUUUCAAUAUUAUCUAGGCAAAACUACUCCUCACCCAGUAGCUGGAAACUUCGAAUGAGGCUUUAUUGCCCACAAAAGGUUUAGAUGAAUUCAAGCCUUUCAUUCGUCGUCUCCUUGAGUUUAAGUUUUGGUAUGUGUUUCUUAUUUUGUUAGUUUGGUGUCUUGCAUUAUUUUGCUUUAAGGUUUCAUUUAUCAGUUGUUUUCAUUUCAACAUGCAAUAUCCUAUCCUAUGUACUUCAUUUCAUUAUGGGUAGUGUUAAUUCGAUUGGUGGUUUGUAUCAAGAGAACACUUUGAUUCCAUUCAUGUGUUGGAUUGUUGAUGCUGUAAGUGAUCUGUAAUUUGUGCUCGAUGAUAGCAAGAUAUGACUCAUAUCCACUAGCCGAUUGCAUGUCCAAGACUUAGUGGAUCACUCAUGCAUCAUCUUGGAUAUGGAUAUGUAUCUUGUGACCCAUAUCCACCAGCCGACCCUUCCCAGCUUCAAUCAUUAUACAUGAUGGUCAACUACAUGGGCCUUAGCACUACCAGUGUCCAGCCUCUUGCUUUCUACCACCUCCACCUAGCACCCGGGCCCACUCACGCAUGGCCACCUUUGCCAUGCAAUCCCAAACAUGCCCAUAUUCCUUUUUGAUCCAUAAUGCUCACAUGUUUUCACAAAUUAUUUUUUUGAAUAAUUUUCAAAAUUCCGGACUUUCAAAUUAUCUCAUUUUCACAUCAAUUCUCGAAAAAAUUUUCCAAGGUUCCAAUUUUUAAAUUUUCCUAAAUUCAUUUUUUCGAAUAAUUUUCCAAAACUACCAUUUUCAAAAUUUUCCAAAAUUCCAAAAGUUUGAAUUUAAUCUUUAAAAUACAAAUUUUCAAAAUUCCAAAUUUAAUUUUAAAAUGUCAUCUUCAAAUAAAUUUUCCAAAAAUUCUAAUUUCCAAAUUUAACUUUUAAAAUGCCAUCUUCAAAUAAAUUUUCCAAAAAUUCUAAUUUCCAAAUUUAAUUUUUAAAAUUCCAUCUUUAAAUAAAUUUUCCAAAAUUCCAAAAUUCCAAAUUUAAUUUUUAAAAUUCCAUCUUCAAAUAAAUUUUCCUAAAAUUCUAAUUUCCAAUUUUAAUUUUUAAAAUUCCAUUUUUAAAUAAAUUUUCCAAAAAUUCCAAAAUUUCAAAUUUAAUUUUUAAAAUUCCAUCUUCAAAUAAAUUUUCAAAAAUUCCAAAUUUAAUUUUUAAAAUGUCAUAUUCAAAUAAAAUUUCCAAAAAUUCCAAUUUCCAAAUUUAAUUUUUAAAAUGCCAUCUUCAAACAAAUUUUCCAAAAUUCCAAAUUCCAAAUUUAAUUUUAAAAGUGUCAUCUUCAAAAUUUAAUUUCUAAAACUCUAAUUCCUAAAUUUAAUUUUCAAAACUCCAAUUCUCAAAUAAUUUUCAAAAUUUUAAUUUCUUUCAAAUUUAUUUCCAAAAUUCCAAUUCUUAAAUAAAAUUCCAAUUCUUAAAACCGUUUUUUAAAACUCCAAUUUUCAAAUAAUUUACAAAAUUUCAAUUUCUUUCAAAUUUAAUUUCCAAAAUUCCAAUUCUUAGAUUUAAUUGUCGAAACUCCAAUUUUUAAAUAAUUUUCGAGAUUUCAAUUUUCAAAUAAAUUUCAAAACUCUAAUCUUCUUUCAAAUAUAUUAAUUCCACUCAAGUUUUUCAAAUAUUUUUAAUUUUACAACUUUUUCAUCAUUUGUUAGAGUUUUAGGUAGCCAAAAAUCCUGAUUUUAAUAAGUGUUAUUUUCAUUUUGGUAUGCACUUAUACAAAUUUUCUUCAAUUUUUAAAUAAUUUUCUGUUUCUCUUGUUUUUUUAAAUAUGCAAGAAUGAAUUUUUCAUAAUUCUAAAAUAAUGGAAUUUGUGAAACUAAUUCAUGCAAGAUAAAUUGGGCUUUGGUAGAGGCCCUACAUAUGAGUUUUCUCUUCUGAUUGUCAACUAUUAUGCUUAAUGAAUAUUGCUAUAUAUUUUUCUUGCUUUAUGCAUGUGAUAUAUUUUAUAUUCAUUAUUAUCCACUAACUCUGUUUCAUGAUACCGUUUUAUUACCUAUUGUCAAGGUAUGCUCUCGCUCUCACUUUCACUCUCACUUUGUUUAUUUAUUCGUUAUCAUAACUUGCUUUUGAUAUAUUAUCAUUUUGGUAUUUAUUGAUCUCCUAGUUAAUUGUUAUAUUUGUCUCACCUUAUUUAGUAGAGACUCGUUUCUAAGGGGUUUAGAGGUGUGUUAUAGUCUUUAUCGUACCUUUCCAAUAAGUAACCUAACCUUUGAACCCAUAUUUGGUUUUUCACAUUUCGUCUUUUCUAAAUAAGGAGUUACACUUGGAGUUUGCUUUCUUAUUUUAUCUUUCCUUUAAAAAUAAAAUAAAAAUAAGUGGCAACUGCAAGUCAUUUUCUAAAAAAAUAAAUCAUUUUCACAUAAAAAGUGAGUUUCACCGUUGAGUGGGAAUGCAUCGUGCGAAAUACAGGUCCACACUCAUUUCCAAUUUCCAAAGUCUCCACGAGGCUUUGUAGAUGAUGAUUCUGGUUCAUUGCUCACUUUCAAGUUACCAGACUUCAUGGAUGAACGUCACCACCAAUACCACUUCAUCCAUGGAAAAGGGCUCCUAGAUCCCUUCCCCUUUUUGACCAUUCCAUUUUGUUUGGGUCUGUAAUUAACUUAGCUGUUUGUCCUUUUAUUCAACACAUGCUACCGUUCCAUGCUCAAACAAAUUGGAUAAGGAUAAUGAUAGACAUUAAACUAAGAAUACGGGGAGGAUAGUUUUGAUACUCCUGUCGGUGGAUAUCGAUGGCAUGGGCUCCACAUAUUUGUAUCAUACGGCAUAAAUGUUCACCCUGCCAUACCACCAACCUCAGGAUAUUCAUGGCAUGCCCUCGUGCUGCAACCAUUACAGUGAUGGACUACAUUUAAUAAUGCUUUCUGCUCAACCAACUUAUUUGACGGACGGUAGUUUUAGCCAUCUUCCAAAAAAAAUUCUAAUUUUAUAUAUACUUAUUUUAAAAAAAUAAACGUGUUUUAAAAUCGCAAUAUUUAAAAGAGAAUGAUAUUUACUCAAGAGGGAAUGAAUUAUAAUAAAUGGUAUGAGAAUCAAUUUCCGAUCCUAAUCCUGAUCCUUCCUUGUGUCACAAUGCCAAUAUGUGACCCUUGUCGUCCACAAGGUAUGUGUCCCUUUACUCGUUACCAAAUGUUGAAAUUAAUUAUCAUAUAUGGAAUAGACAGCUCAUCUCACAGUUCAUGUUGGUUAUACAAAAUUAGCUUCAUGGGAUUGUUCUCCAAAGGUGUUUAUCCACUAGAAAUAAUAAUUACUCACUUUAUGGACUAUGGUGCAUAAAAUAUUAUGACUUAAGAGUAAAUUAAUGACUUUGAAGACUUGCAGUUGCUUGUGGUCCCUUUUGUUUCAUAGAUUCCAAUGUUAAAAUCAAGUUUGUUUUUUCCCUCUUUCUUUUCGUUCUCGUUGUACUUUAAUGGGGAGUGUUGACAAGUCUGCAGAAGGCAACAAUAUUUAUGGUAAGCAAGCUAGGUGGCCCGGCUGGCAAAGGGCAAAGGAGAAACCAAUGCCCAUUUGUCACUAUUGAAGAAAUGUCAACAGUCUCACCCGAUCACAUCGACAGCUUUCAUCAGUCACUGGGUGUAUAAAUGGGAUGCAAACUCCAUGGGUAUUGGUUGAAGGGAUAAGGGUUUUGAGAUAUGGGUUCAGCUCCAGCUUCUGCUUUUCUCUGCAUAUUUGUUGUUCUCUGCUCAUAUGUGACAGUUAAUGGCGGUUAUAUCAAGUACAAUACUGGAGCUGGGAUUGUUGAAGGCAAAUUGAAUGUCCAUUUGGUUCCACAUUCACAUGACGAUGUGGGGUGGCUGAAGACAAUUGAUCAGUACUAUGUGGGAUCAAAUAACAGUAUUCAGGUUAUUGAUUGUUCUUUUGGGUGUGAUUUUUGUAGGGUUUUUAGAUUGUAGCUAUGGUGAAUUGUGUAUUUUCUUGGUGAUCUUGUGCAGGGCGCUUGUGUUGAGAAUGUGUUGGACUCGGUUGUGGAGUCAUUGCUUCGGAACCAAAAUAGAAAAUUUGUGUUUGCAGAGAUGGUAAACCCGCAAAUUGCCUCUUUUUUUUUCUGGUAUUCAUGUUUGGAUUGACUGUACAUGCCAUUGACUUUAAUUUGGGUUUGAUGAAGUCACAAAUUUGCUUUAAUGGGUGAUUAGCUUGGUUGAUUUAUAAGCAAAGCAAUUUACUAAAAUCAAGUUCUGAGAAAACACCAAUGGGAAGUCAAUGGAGAAAUCAAGGCAAAUUGUAUACUGUUCCAAUCAUAUCUGCAUUGGCAAUCUGUUUCUCUAACUCAAUAUCGUUUCCUAACAUUGUUUAAUGUGAAUAUGGAUAGGCUUUUUUCAGUAGAUGGUGGUAUGAACAAAGUGAGGAAAUACAAGAAACAGUAGGAAAACUUGUAGAUGGUGGCCGGUUGGAAUUCAUGUAUGCAGUUAGUAAAGCUGCUUGUUAUGUGUUUUCAUGAUUGGUAGCCUUUAUGUUCUCAUGGGCACAUGAUAAUAGAUAGAUGCAUCUUUGUCCUCAGAAAUGGUGGUUGGUGUAUGCAUGAUGAGGCUACAGUCCAUUACAUUGACAUGAUUGACCAGACAACCCUAGGUCAUCGCUUGAUAAAGAAGGCGUUCAACAAGGCUCCUCGAGCUGGAUGGCAGAUUGAUCCAUUUGGACACUCUGCAGUUCAAGCUUACCUUCUCGGGGCUGAGGUACAAAAUUUAUAAUACUCAAUACAGUGAACACUUUUUGUUUUUUAGAAACAUGAUUCUGCUCUUUAGUAUGUUAUACCAAUUUAAUCAAUUUUUCUGGUUCCAUUGUACUCUGUUGCAAGCUAUACACUUGAUCAUUACUUAUGAUGAAUGUUUUCAUUUCUUUCUGUUUUCCAAGGAUUGACACUUGAUUUAUUUUAUUGAAUUGAUUGUGUAGCUCGGCUUUGAUUCUGUGCAUUUUGCUAGAAUUGAUUACCAAGACAGAGCAAAGCGCAAGGAGGAUAAAUCUCUUGAAGUAAUAUGGCGUGGGUCAAAAACCUUUGGUUCCACAUCUCAGGUUUGAACUGCAACUUCUGCUAUGCUCCUGGAUUUUUUCUUCUUAAAUGGUUGGUGAAUUCAGUGUUUACAUGUGGGGCCUCUGCAGAUCUUCACAAAUGCGUUUCCUGUUCAUUAUAGUCCUCCAAAUGGUUUCGGUUUUGAAAUCGAUGAUUUCUCCAUACCUGUCCAGGUUUGUUCAAUGAGAAUGAGAUAUUGCAAUGUUAUGAUGUUUCUUAUUGACUAAAUCCCUUCAUCUGGUACAUGUUGAAACUGCAGGAUAAUCCACAUCUAUUUGACUACAAUGUUGAACAGCGAAUUAAUGAUUUUGUUGCUGCAGCUUUAGUCCAAGUAAACUCUUAGCUUCCAUAAUUUUUUAUGUAUUUUUUACAGCUCCUAAUGAGAGUAAUGUUAGCCAUACAUAUAGCUGACACGAAGUUCAUAAGCAAAAAUUUGUAACUUCCAUCACCCUCAUGUACAGGCAAAUGUGACACGGACAGACCAUAUUAUGUGGACAAUGGGGGAUGAUUUCCAGUACCAAUAUGCUGAGACCUGGUUCAAGCAGAUGGACAAACUAAUUCAUUAUGUUAACAAGGUAAGAAGUUUUAGGAUGAAAAUUAAAUUCAUCUACCUUCUGGCCUUUACUAACUUGCAGCAUUCAAGCUACUUAAGAUUAAUGGCCUUGAAACUUCUGGCAGGGGCACUUUGUUCUGGUUGAGAACAGGGGUAGAACAAGUUUUUUUUUUCUUCUUUGGGGGGUGGGUGGGGGAGCGUAUGGGAGAACGAGGAGGCUCAUGGUUGUCUUGGCAGGGUGACUUAACAUGAGCUUCACAAUAUAUUAUACCACCUGUAUUUUGUGAUUCAAUCAGUAUGUAUAGCCCAGAAAUGGUGUUUGCCUUGUUUAAGAAAGAAAUUAUGCAUCUCAUGGAGCUCAUGUUGAGGCAACUCUAGGAAGCCAACUUUACAAGAUAGUUUUGAACAAUAACCCUAGGAAAAGUGGCAAUAUAGCUUUCAGAACCUGUGGAGUUCACCCAAAAACAAUUGAAGGGACAGUUUUCCUAGGUUUUAAAAGCUGUAUGGCUACUUUCCCUAUGAUGAUUGUACAUAACCAUUAUCUUGAAUGAUUGAAUUCCUAGAGUUUCAGUAUCAAAUAUUAUCAUGAUGAUGCAGAACUUGAAGUGAGUGCUUAAUCCCUGGGAAAAGUGGCCAUACAUUUCCAGUUUAAAAGCCAUGUGGCCACUUGAUUUUUGGUAUCACGCAUUAUCUUGUCGAUGCAGAAACCAUUAAACUCACUUUGCUCCUUCAGUCUAUUCCUGAAGUAUGCCCAGACAGUUACUAUCAAGAUUUUUUAAGUUAGCCUUUAGAUCAUGACUUCUUUUUUGGUCAUUUGAUGCAUUUUGUUUAUAUAUAAUAUGUACAUUUUGAAUGAGUUUCAUUUUCACAGGAUGGUCGGGUGAAUGCAUUGUAUUCUACUCCAUCCAUGUAUGUUGAUGCAAAACAUGCAACAAAUGAAGAAUGGCCACUCAAAACUCAUGACUAUUUCCCGUGAGCAUUACUUAAUUCUUUAUUUAUUUUCUUGUGGAUAUGGAAACAUAGUGGGAAUAGUUUUAUUGACUUAAUAUGUUGUAAACUUUGGUUGUCUAACUGUUGCCUACAGAUAUGCAGACAGGAUAAAUGCUUAUUGGACUGGAUAUUUUACUAGCCGCCCAGCUUUGAAGCGAUAUGUUCGAAUGCUAAGUGGAUAUUAUUUGGUAUGAUAUGAGUCACAUUGUCUUCAGAGUUAUAUUAAGCUAGAAUGUUGAAGGGAGAAGCUCUUUCUGAUCUAUUCUGUAUACUUGCUAUACUCGCCACAAAGAAUGUUUAAAAUGUUCCAUAAGAAAGUCCAUUAAUGAAGACAUAUGGUCACAAAAUUGAGUUUGACAUCCAUAUUGAGCACAAAGUACCAGAUUUAGUCACUGGUUAUGUUCCAUGUGGACAGGGGAUGGAUCUUCCUACUACUUGGUCAUGGAUGACACUCGUUAAUCUGUUUGUGAUCUUUGUGUAUGCCUUGAGUUUUAGUAAUAUAUAGAAUUGAAACAGUUUUCUUUUUGUGUAAAAUAGGCAGCACGCCAGCUUGAAUUCCUGGCUGGAAGGAGCUCGACUGGUCUCAACACUUUUAGUUUGGGGGAUGCUUUAGGAAUUGCACAGCACCAUGAUGCUGUAACUGGUACUGCUAAACAACACACAACAAAUGACUAUGCAAAGCGCCUGGCAAUUGGGGCUUCUGAGGUUGGCUGCUCUGCCUGCAAACUUAACCUUGUGGUUUCUGUUUCUUUUCCUCUUGCAUUAUGUUACUUAUUCUAGACCAAACUUUUAAUUAAUAUUCUUUGAAUCACAAUAACUUUUCAUAGACAGAAGCCACUGUGAAUUCAGCUCUUUCAUGCAUAGCUAGUAAAAACUCAGGUCAAUGUGCAGCAUCCACAUCGUCAUUUAGCCAGGUAAUUAUUUCACAUAUUUUCCUUUGUUCACAUGGCUACAUGGGUGUUGAAUUUGUGACUGCUAAAGUACUUGUGCCAUGAAACAAGAAGAUGCAUUUUUUGAAUUGCAUAAACUGCAAUCAUAAGCUUAUGUCAUGCUACAGUUUUGUAUAUAACCAUGUGCACGUGACUUACAAAAGGAAAAUGUAAGUAAGAUAUAUUUGGAACACCACAAUCUGAAAAUAAUGCACCUCCAAGCAUUAUUGGUGGAUUCAGGUAGGGCUCAGAGGGGGCAGAUGGCCCCCCAAAAAAAUAAAAAAAUUAGCCUGCAAAAUGAGGUAUUGAUCCUAUGACCUCAGUUUUGAAAAAGAAACAAACAAACUGGUGAGCCAAACAUUGCUUUUUGGCUCAUAUUUGCGCCUUCCCCCGAAACUAAACUCUGUCCUUUGCCCCGGAUCCCAUUUCUAGUUCCGCCCCUGACAAGCAUUCAUGGUGCAAUAGGUGUUUUUAUUUCAAGUAUGUGUCAGUUAUUUGCAUUGUUGGGCAAUUAUGCCCACUUAACCACUCAAGCUGAUCCCCAUUAAUUUAAUGAUGUUAUCCCCCCUUUUUUUUUGCUGGUUAAAAUCUUCAACAGUGCCAAUUACUCAACAUAAGUUUCUGUCCACCAACUGAGGAAGAUAUUCCUGAAGGGAAGAGUUUGGUAAUUUUCCUAUUUUUCUGGAUCCAUGGUUAAUAGUUAAAAUUUCUCUUAAAUAUUUCUCCAUUAUUUUUAAAUGUUUAAUUUCAGGUUGUAGUGGCAUAUAAUCCACUUGGAUGGAAGCGUACUGAAUUUGUGAGGAUACCGGUGCGUGAAUGCUUGUCUUCGCUUUGCCCAUCUUAGAGCAAGAGAGUUACAUUUUUUCUUUUUCUUUUUCUUUUUAAUCUUCUUUUCCUCUGUAUGUGUGAAUUAAAUAUGAUAUUUUCUCUUCAAUACCUGAAAGUGAUAUUUCCCAUAGGUCAAUGAUUCUGACUUUGUUGUCCAAGAUUCUACUGGCAACACCAUUGAGGCACAAUAUCUUAAGGUGGACAAUGUUACAAUCAACUUAAGGAACUUUUAUACCAAGGCCUACUUAGGCAGGUCACCAAAAAAUGUCCCUAAGUUUUGGCUUUUGUUUCAAGUAUCUGUGCCACCUCUGGGAUGGAACACAUACUUCAUUUCUAAAGCAUCUGGAAAAGGUAGAUAUCCAAUAUAUUCUCCUUCUAGAUCAUUAGUAUUCUUAAAUAUCAUACUAUUCUGAAAUGUCAUUUGAUGUAUAUUUUUAUUUCAUAAGCAGCUGUUCUCAUAUUGCCAAGUACACUACUUAUCAUUGUUUUAAAUCUCAUCAAACUCACAUGUGAAAAGAAAAAUAGUACAAAUUAUGGGAGAUCAUGGCAGAACAAGCCGUAACUGAUUUUGUUAACUAAUUAUAUUCUGUAUGCAUCUACUUUUGCUCCACAGAAAGUAGCAGAAGUGGAUAUAUCUCUGUGAUGGACAGUCCUCAGAAUGAGUCCAUUGAAGUUGGACCUGGAAGUUUGAAGAUGUCUUUUUCUUCUACCACUGGACAGCUUGAACGGAUGUUUGAUUCUAAGACAGGGGUAAGCUGCCUCACAUUUCCUUUAAGUGUUGAACCAGUGUUUUUUGACAAAAUGAACUGGGGGUAAGCAGCACCAGUCCAGUUUGAAUGUCCUAUGGUUAAGAGCAUGUGCAAUGUCUGUGCCUUAGCUUGAAUAGUCUCAUGGUUGAACCCCACAGGGAGGUCUGGUUCUCAGUUGUUCAAUUUAACUGUGAACAGGAAUACUACGAUCAUCCUGUUAAGACCAAAUCUUUCUGUUUUUCCACACUUAGUCAAUCACAAGCAAACUAUUAGUUUGAUAAAAAAAAUCCCUUUUAAAGGAUUUCAAUUUUUACUAGGUUUGUUUCUUGAACUCUUCUUCUUUUUGUUGGAUGCUAUCUUUCAGUCACCCAGAGAUAUUGUUGGAAAAUUAAAAUUGUUCAAGUUACAAAAUUGAAGUCCCAUGGUGAGAUGGUGAUGUUGAUAUAUAAUAAUCUAAAUAAUUAAAAAUCAUUGGUGAUGAAAUAUAACAAACAAAUGUCUUUGUAUAAAAUAGUGUGGAAUUGUAACAAUUUAAUUAUACUGGUAUUUACUGCUUUUGGAACAUAAGAGCCGAAACAUCAAGCCCCUCUGAUACUUCUUGUGAGUUCUCUGUUCUUUGGUUUGGUUUACUUAUAUGUGUGAUCUGUUGAAUAUAAUGUAUGUAUAGUAUACUAUCUUUCCUUGUUAAUAUAGGUCACAUGUAUGGUAGUUAGGACUCUUAGCCUUAUAUAUAUAUAUAUCUCAAUUGUAAGUAGAGAUUACAAUGAAUGUGAAUAAGGUUUUUCUCCUUUCUCUCUCUCUCUCUCAACAUGGUAUCAGAGCCAAGGAAGAAAACCUAAUUCUUUCCUGUUUUCCGUGUCAUCAACUCCGGGAAACCUUCCGGUGACCGUGUUUCUUUCCAGUCACCUUCCCCAUCUCCCAAUACUUUCCGGUCAGUCGGAUCGUCGUUAGAAACCACUCACCGCUGGCAAAUUUUCCGGCGAAAUUUUCCGGCGAACUUUCCGGCGAAAUUUCCCGACGACCUAUUUUUCCGACACCGACCAUACCAGAAGGAGCGCCUGGAGGAGAUCUCCAACUUUUGUGAAGGCACCAGCACCAAAAGAGCAGCCACGCGCCGGCCACGCGCAAUUUUCCGGCCGGCGGUUGAAUCUCACGCGCCGGCGCGUGGGGGCGUGUGAGAGAUUUUCCGGCUACGCGCCUCCUCCUCCAGCUUCGCCUGACGCCGAUCAGCCUUCCCACCUCCCUGGUUAUCCCAUCCGAGCCCUGCACGUACCUCUUUUGGGGAUUUUUGUCUCCGUCGGCCCUCCAAACAGUCUUUCAGGCGAAGCUCCGACCACUUUUUCUCCACUCCAAUCCCUGCACGUGCCUUGGGAAGUGUUCUUCUCCCUUUCUGGUGGUACCACACCGCGAUCUAAGGCCGUCUCCCUUUUUCGGUGGUGCCACGUUGCAAUCUGAAGCCGUAUUAGGGCUCUCUUCGAUCCAAACAUACUUCAUUCUCCAGAUAAGUGGAUAUGGCUACUAAAGCUUCCAUUUUUUCCUCUGUCAUAUCUGGAUCUCCUAUGAUUACUUCGGAGAAAUUAGUUGGGAGUGAAAAUUAUCUUUCCUGGUCUGCUUCUGUUGAACUUUGGUUUAUGGGUCAAGGAUAUGAGGAUCACUUGAUUACACAGGAGGCAGAUAUCCCUGAGGUCGACCGCGUACAGUGGAGGAAGAUAGAUGCACAGUUGUGUAGUGUAUUAUGGCAAUCGGUUGAUCCCCGAAUUCUUCUUCAUCUUCAGGCCUAUAAAACUUGUUGUAAAUUUUGGACUCAGGCCAAAGGAUUAUACACGAAUGAUAUCCAGCGUCUUUAUAAGGUGGCUUCUGCUAUUGUCCAUCUCAACCAACAGGACUUGGAUCUAUCUACUUAUAUUGGCCAGAUUGCCUCUCUUAAGGAGCAGUUCUUGACUGUGAUGCCUCUUACUCCUGAUGUUGGGGCUCAACAAACACAGCUUGACAAGUUCUUCAUGGUCCUUACUCUUAUCGGCCUCCGUCCGGAUCUUGAGCCUAUUCGUGAUCAGAUUCUUGGUAGUUCAUCAGUUCCGUCCUUGGAUGAUGUGUUUGCUCGCCUCCUCCGUAUCUCGUCCACUCAGACUUUGCCAUCUGAUAGCGCUUCAGAUUCUUCUGUGUUAGUUUCUCAAACUACCUCUCGAGGAGGACGCAGUGGUACCCGAGGUAGAGGCCAACGUCCUCAUUGCACCUAUUGCAAUAAACUUGGCCACACUCGCGAUCGUUGCUAUCAGUUACAUGGAAGACCUCCUCGCACUGCCCAUAUGGCCCAGUCCUCUGAUUCUCCGCUGCCUCAGCCUCCGAGCUCCUCCGCAUAUCAGACAUCUCAAGCUUCUAUUGCCUCUGUUGCCCAGCCUGGUAAUGUCUCUGCCUGCCUUACCCACACAUCUUCUCUUGGACCCUGGAUUCUAGAUUCUGGAGCAUCUGAUCACCUAUCUGGUAAUAAGGAUCUUUUCUCCUCUAUUACUACUACCUCUGAUUUACCUACUGUUACCUUAGCUAAUGGUUCUCAAACUGUGGCUAAAGGUAUUGGUUUGGCCCUUCCUUUGCCUUCUCUACCUCUCACUUCUGUCCUUUAUACUCCUGAAUGUCCUUUUAAUCUUAUUUCCAUCAGCAAAAUCACUCGUACUCUUAAUUGCUCUAUUACCUUUUCUGAUAAAUUUGUGACCUUGCAGGACCAGAGUACGGGGAAGACGAUUGGCAUAGGACGUGAGUCUCAAGGCCUCUAUCACCUCACCUCAGAUUCAUCUCCUGCAGUUUGCAUUUCCACUGAUGCUCCUCUCCUCAUUCACAAUCGUCUGGGCCACCCUAGUCUCUCCAAGUUCCAGAAGAUGGUUCCUCGUUUUUCCACUUUGUCAUCGCUUCCGUGUGAGUCAUGUCAGCUUGGGAAACAUACUCGUGUCUCGUUCCCAAAGCGUUUGAAUAAUCGGGCAAAGUCUUCUUUUGAGCUUGUCCACACUGAUGUUUGGGGUCCUUGUCGGACUGCGUCUACUUUAGGAUUUCAGUAUUUUGUCACUUUCAUUGAUGACUAUUCUCGAUGUACUUGGUUAUUCUUAAUGAAAAAUUGAGCUGAGUUAUUCUCUAUUUUCCAGAAAUUUUAUACUGAAAUCCAAACCCAGUUCAAUAUUUCUAUUCGUGUGUUACGCAGUGACAAUGCCAGGGAAUAUUUUUCAGCCCAAUUUACUUCGUUUAUGUCUCAUCAUGGGAUUCUUCAUCAGUCUUCUUGUGCUCAUACUCCUCAACAAAAUGGGGUAGCUGAACGCAAGAAUCGACAUCUUGUUGAGACAGCUCGUACUCUCCUCCUCCAUAAUCAUGUUCCUUUUCGUUUUUGGGGGGACGCUGUUCUUACCGCUUGUUAUUUGAUUAAUCGUAUGCCCUCCUCUGUCUUACACGAUCAGCUUCCUCACUCCCUUCUUUUCCCUGACCAACCACUUUAUUUCCUUCCUCCUCGUGUCUUUGGUUGUACUUGCUUUGUUCAUAUUCUCACUCCUGGACAGGACAAGCUUUCCGCCAAUGCCAUGAAGUGCCUCUUCUUGGGAUAUUCCAGACUUCAGAAGGGUUAUCGUUGUUAUUCCCUUGAGACUCAUCGGUACUUUAUCUCCGCUGAUGUCACCUUCUUUGAGGACUCACCAUUCUUUUCCACCACUUCUGAGUCUCUUCCUGUUUCUGAAGUCUUGCCCAUUCCCAUUGUCUCCCCACCUGAUGCUAUGCCCCCUCGACCACUUCAGGUUUAUCAUCGUCGCCCUCGUGUCGUUGCUCCUCUCCCUUUUCCUGAGGCACCUGCUGACUCACUUCCUAUCCCUUCGGCUUCACCUGCCCCGGCUCUGCCUUCUCCUAAUGACUUAUCCAUUGCUGUUCGGAAAGGUACUCGCUCUACUCGUAAUCCUCAUCCUAUUUACAAUUUUUUGAGUUAUCAUCGAUUAUCUUCACCCUAUUCUGCUUUUGUUUGUGCUAUAUCCUCUGUUUCUCUUCCAAAGAGCACCCAUGAAGCUCUUUCCCAUCCAGGCUGGCGACAGGCAAUGGUGGAUGAAAUGGCUGCUCUGCACUCUAAUGGCACUUGGGAUCUUGUUGUUUUACCCUCUAGUAAAUCUACAGUUGGUUGUCGUUGGGUCUAUGCAGUUAAGGUUGGUCUUGAUGGUCAGGUUGAUCGCCUUAAGGCCCGCUUAGUUGCUAAAGGCUAUACUCAAGUUUAUGGUUCUGAUUAUGGUGACACAUUCUCCCCUGUUGCCAAGAUUGCUUCUGUCCGCUUGCUUCUGUCCAUGGCUGCUAUGUGUUCUUGGCCUCUUUAUCAGUUGGAUAUUAAAAAUGCCUUCCUUCAUGGUGAUCUUGCUGAGGAAGUUUAUAUGGAGCAACCUCCUGGUUUUGUUGCUCAGGGGGAGUCUGGUUUAGUGUGCAGGUUACGCCGCUCUCUAUAUGGCUUGAAACAAUCUCCUCGAGCAUGGUUUAGCCGUUUUAGUUCUGUUGUUCAAGAGUUUGGCAUGCUUCGCAGUACAGCAGACCAUUCAGUUUUUUAUCAUCAUAACUCCUUGGGGCAGUGUAUUUAUCUGGUUGUUUAUGUGGACGACAUCGUCAUUACAGGCAGUGAUCAGGAUGGUAUUCAGAAACUAAAGCAACAUCUUUUUACCCACUUUCAGACCAAAGACUUGGGGAAACUCAAGUAUUUCUUGGGAAUUGAGAUAGCUCAAUCCAGUUCUGGUGUGGUCCUUUCCCAAAGGAAGUAUGCUUUAGACAUCCUGGAAGAAACCGGUAUGUUAGACUGUAAACCGGUAGACACACCUAUGGAUCCGAAUGUCAAACUUGUACCAGGACAGGGGGAGCCUUUAGGAGACCCCGGGAGAUAUCGACGGCUCGUAGGUAAAUUGAACUAUCUCACCAUUACUCGUCCAGACAUUUCUUUUCCUGUGAGUGUUGUUAGUCAAUUCCUACAGUCACCAUGUGAUAGCCAUUGGGAUGCCGUAAUCCGUAUUCUUCGAUAUAUCAAAAGUACACCAGGCCAAGGUGUAUUGUACGAGAACAGAGGUCAUACUCAAGUUGUUGGUUACACAGAUGCAGAUUGGGCUGGCUCACCCACAGAUAGACGUUCCACUUCAGGGUACUGUGUUUUUAUUGGAGGUAAUCUAAUAUCUUGGAAGAUUAAGAAACAAGAUGUAGUGGCCAGAUCUAGCGCUGAAGUCGAGUAUCGAGCUAUGGCUUUGGCAACAUGUGAACUCAUAUGGUUGAGACAUCUUCUUCAGGAGUUGAGAUUUGGAAAGGAUGAACAGAUGAAACUCAUCUGUGAUAACCAGGCCGCAUUACAUAUUGCAUCCAAUCCAGUCUUUCAUGAAAGGACCAAGCAUAUUGAAGUUGACUGUCAUUUCAUUAGAGAGAAGAUCGCAUCAGGAUGUGUUGCUACAAGUUUUGUCAAUUCAAAUGAUCAACUAGCAGACAUCUUCACUAAAUCUCUCAGAGGUCCUAGGAUUAAAUAUAUUUGUAACAAGCUUGGUGCAUAUGACGUAUAUGCUCCAGCUUGAGGGGGAGUGUUGAAUAUAAUGUAUGUAUAGUAUACUAUCUUUCCUUGUUAAUAUAGGUCACAUGUAUGGUAGUUAGGACUCCUAGCCUUGUAUAUAUAUAUCUCUCAAUUGUAAGUAGAGAUUACAAUGAAUGUGAAUAAGGUUUUUCUCCUUUCUCUCUCUCUCUCUCAACAUGAUCUAUACAGUCUUGUAUUUCAUGGUUAUUGGGCACUUGUAUUAUAGUCUUACAACCAAUGUUUAUAGAGAGUGGCAGUUUUUUUUUUUCCUCAAUGUCCUUGACAUGCUGACAAAUCAUUAAUCCUCUAAGCAUAAACUAAAACAUAGGAAAAAAAAUUAAAAAGCUACUGACAUAAUUUGGCAUUCAGUUUAUAGAAAUAUUAUGAAGGCUGUUUCAGUUAAACUGGAGAGCAUCUCUAAUGAUUUUGCAUUUUAUCAGGUUGAUUUACCAAUACAGCAAAGCUAUCUCUGGUAUGGUUCAAGUGAUGGUGGAUUGGAUUCCCAGGUACUCAAAUGCUGUUCUUGGAUUAGGACUGACUGUAUAAUUGAAUCCAAGUUGGUGCAAUGGCUUUUGGCUUGUGCUUUAUAUUCUCUCUUUUGCAGCCUUCUGGUGCAUACAUUUUCAGGCCUAAUGGUGCUCCUCCAACAGUUGUUUCAAGAUCAGUAAGCCAUCUAUUUUGUCUUUUCUUUCAUUUUUAUUUAUUUUUUUAUUUUUGCUAUAGUUGUUUACUUUUCAAUUAACAACCUUCCAUUGAAACUUUGCCCAAAGUUGCAGACAAUUUGGCAAUGGUAUGGUGAACCCUUUUCAUAGUUGAAGUACUGGAGCCAUAAUAAGGUAUUUUCAUCUUCUUUGUCAGUAACUAAAAUGAUUUGUUAAACUUGCAGGUGCCCUUGAAGGUCAUGCGUGGGCCACUAGUUGAUGAAGUCCAUCAAGAGUUCAGUCCAUGGAUCUACCAGGUUGUCAUCUUAGCUAUGGAUUUAGGUCAUUGACGCAAAACUGUUUGCAUUAUAAGAUCCUGAAAUUGCUAAUUAUUUCUUUUAACUAGGUUUUUCUUUGUCUUAGUUUCACAAUUAUAUUCAUCUACCUUGAAAAUAUGUUAUUUGAAUUAGUGGUGAUCUUGUCAAGACCUUGCUACAAACACAAACAUGUUGUACACAUGGUGGGUGUGAACGUGUAGACAGUAAAUAACCAAAUCACUGAACCUUGAAAUGUAUAUCACAUAUGAACAGUGGACACAACAAGAAUAUCAUGUUUCAAUCUGGGAACUUGGGCAUUGAACAUGCCAAUACCUGAAUCUUGACGAGGUAGCAUGGACAUUAUGUUACAUAUGCAUUCAGUUGUGUGCAUAUGGAAGGACCAGAGAGGAUGACAAAAAAGGGCCUUAGUUUGAUAGUAGGGAUUGCGACAAAAAUAAAAACCUUUAGAGUGAUUAGACACUGCAGUCAGGGAUCUUCUUCACUUAUUCAUAAUUCCAUGUGUUAUGUAAGGGCUGCAUAAGACAAUCUUUGACCAUGAUCGAGUAUUGGUAAUUUUUCUUUUUAAUUCUUCUUGAUUACAUUGUCUUCCUUUCUUUUUGACUAGCCUAUUUCUGUUGCUUUUCAGGUGACCAGACUUUACAAAGACAAAGAUCAUGCUGAAGUUGAAUUCACUGUGAGCCACCUUACUUGAUUACCUUGUACACUUUAUGUAAGCUGAAUAAAAAAUUUAAUAUCUAUGUACUUGAACUGAGUAGUUCUGACAAAUUUCUGAUUUGAAGAUUGGUCCGAUCCCUGUGGAUGAUAGUGUUGGAAAAGAGGUCAUUACACGAAUGACAGCAAAUAUGGUCACAAACAAGGUGUUUUAUACAGAUUCUAGCGGAAGGGAUUUUCUAAAGCGGGUAACAUUCACAAACAGUUCUUCUCUUUGAAUGUCGAAAGUUUUCCAAUUUCUCUUGGUAGCCUGGUAUUAUAGUGGAUCCAUCAUCUAACAACAUAAGCUUUUAGGACAAAUUAGUAGUUUAAUAUAAUACUAGAAUGUUGAUUAACUAGAGGUCUCAAGUUUGCAUCUUUUCUUUUGUUUAUUCCUCUAUAUGUUUAUCUGUAAUCCAUAAGUGAAAUUUGUCUCUCCACUUAGGGGUAUUGAGUCUUUGGUUGAUUGCUCUGCAUUUCACUGUGGGCUGAAACCAAACCAACUACUUGGGAUUGGCUAGAACUACUUUUCAUUAUAUGCUCUUUUUGUCUUGUCUUUUUCCCCAGUAAUAAGCAUAGUUGCAACUGGUAGAAAUAGCAUUCUAACUUUUUAUAGUUUUGUUUUUGUUUUUGUUUUUUUUUUUCCAAUUGGUGGGUUUUGAUCUAAAUCAUGGUUAGAUGAUUUAUUUGUUUCCAAAGUCAUUUAAAUGAUUGGGGCCAGAAAAGGCUCUAUAGAUGGCAGUUUGCUGUCCCAUUUUACUUCUUGACUUCAAUAGAACAAGAUUGUAAAUUGCAUAGAAGUUAGGUUUGAGUUUGUUUUUGUCCACUUUUUAAAGAUUCAAUUGAAUUAGGUCCGACUAACAUAGUCUUUACAUGCAAGAAAUCUAUGAUCUAGCAGAGAAACAUAUCCAGUGGAGUGUGCUUAGGAUUGUGAUUAUCGUAUUGGUAGAGUGGGAAUAGUAGCCAUUCAGAACUUGCAUAUUUGGUGAUACCAUGUCAACAUCAUUUUAUAGAACUUUAUCUGUGAUUCCUUUUAUCGUCUUGCCAUCACUUUGUUCUAUCCUAUUCUUUUGCGAGUUUCCUACAUCCUCAAAAUAACAAACAUUACUUCUUUGGUGGAGUCUCACAUCCUCAAUUGAGCACUUCAGUAUAAAAUUGAAUUCUAUAAUCAUGGUUCUUUGCAGGUUCGGGAUUAUAGAGAAGACUGGUCUCUUUCAGUGAAUCAGCCAGAAGCAGGGAACUACUAUCCAGUAAUUUUCUGAACACCGAUUUAACUGAAAUGGGCAGUGUGAUAUAUCUACACCAUGCUGCUAUCCAUUGCAGUUUUGUUAAGUUCAUAUGUAAAUUAAACCAUAACUCUUUUCAAUGUGAGGCAUACUAGAGGGCUGCUGAUUUUGAUCUUUUCUUCCCCAGAUUAAUCUUGGAAUCUUUACCACGGAUAAGAAAUCAGAAUUUUCUGUCUUGGUUGAUCGUGCCACUGGAGGAUCUAGCAUCAAAGAUGGACAAGUAGAGCUAAUGCUUCAUAGGUUCAAUUCUCACAUUAUUUUAUUGUCUAACAUUUAGAUGUUUUUCGUACUUCUGUUAUUACAGACAUGGACACAUGUUAAACUGAAAUUUCUUCUUUUUGUAUGAAGGCGUAUGAUCUUUGAUGACAGUAGAGGAGUGGGUGAAGCUCUUGAUGAGACCACAUGUGUUGAAAAUACAUGUGAAGGACUUACAGUAUGUUAUUGUCUUGCUCUAAGCAUCUUAUUAUGUUGCAACCUGAUAACAGAAGUUUGUUACCCCUCUCCAUGCACUGUCUGCUUUUUUCUUUCAUUUUCAUGGUUCUUCUAGACAAAAUAAAUGGCAGUUGAUAAUCUGAUAUGAGAAAUUAGUCAUUGUAUGUUCCAUAAGCUGAUCUCUAGAAUGACUGGGAUAAAUUCAUGGUAGAUAUCUUAGAUUAUGGAGGAAUCAUUUGCAUUUACUUUUGGUUGUAUGAUUAUGAGGGGUUGGGUUAGACAGGAUUAGUGUUAAUUAGUUUUUGCUGCCAUUUAUUGAUAAUGGCAUUCCAUUCCAGGUCCUGUCUAAGUUUCUUUUGCCUUGCUAUACAAUGCUAGACUUGUGAAUCUAAUAAUCAUCUCAGUGGGGCUAUGCAUUACAUGGAAGUAAUAACCCAUUGUGUUAAAGCAAUUUUAAUUUAAUAUGUUUUAUCAUAUUCUUUAAAACAUAAAAAAAUAAAAGAUAUCUACAUUCUAUGAAUAAGAAAAUACAUAUAACACAUGUUAAUCUUAUGGAGCUUUAAUAUUCUGAUAGUUCAAUCAAUUCAAACACACUGCCCUUCUAGUAAUACUAAAGUUCAUUUUGGUCUUUGAAGGAAAAGAUGACUUUUUGGUGUGAAACUUUUCAUUGAUUUAUGUGUAAAAAAUUGAAUGUUUAAGCUCCAUUUUGGCACAACCUUGUAAUGUUUUAUUCCUAUCCUCGUGUUUAAAGAUUAAUGGAGCAGACAGGAUGCCAUGUAUGAUUAGGAUGAUAUUCUCCCUGUGGAACUGCUUACGGAACUGCUUGAGACAUAGGAUUCCUGAAUAGGCAUUGCAAUUUUAUUUUAUUUUUCUAUCUGUACAAGAUUUUUGAAAAGUCUGCAUGUUCAUUCUCAAAGAAUUCAGUUGGGCCUUGAACAUAUAUGCUCAUCUUUUUAUCAUUUUGAAAUCAGAUGUUCUCAUCAAAAGUGGUUUUACUUACUUGAAUAACUACUUUCUUUCAGGUUUAUCAUUAAUUGUUGAUCAAUAAGUUUUUUCUAGGUAAAAAUAAUUGUAUUUUUUUUCUAAUGCUGUGUUUAACCUCAUUCAGGUUCGGGGAAAUUAUUAUAUGAGCAUCGACCUGCUAGGGGAUGGUGCACAGUGGCGUAGAACAACUGGCCAGGAAAUUUACUCACCGCUUCUCUUAGCUUUUACACAUGAGGUAUGGUGUAAUUCUGCUCACAGAUUUUAUCAGUCCUCAUGGUCCUUGAUUUAAUUAAAAAUUGAUUUUACAGAAGUUGGAGACCUGGACAGCUUCUCACUUGACAAAGGGAACAGUAAUGGAACCCAAUUACAGUUUACCUCUUAAUGUUGCUGUGAUUACUCUUCAGGUGAUUGUCUUAAAUCAUGGUUGAAUGGACUCUCCCUCUCUUUCUCUCUCUCUGACUUUCUGUUUUGUAGGAGUUGGAUGAUGGCAGCGUUCUCCUCCGUCUGGCACAUUUAUAUGAGGUGUGCUUCAUGCUCUUACUUACCUGCUAAUGAAACAAAUAAGUCAUUCCAUCCUAACUACCUUUAGCUGCUGCAUGAAGCCUUCUUCUCUCUCUCUCUCUCUCUGUCCCUCUUCUCUAUUGCUUAUUCUGUUGGAGGCAUCCUCAACCCACAUUACAUUUGGUUCUCUUUUCAACAUGUUGAUGACAUAAGUCAAAGAUGAGGAUUAUACUGGAGAUGAUAACAAUAGUUCCUGCUGGAUUCUUCUCCAAUUAGCUCUGGAAUAAAAAACAAAGACACAAAGUGGAUAAAAGUCCACUUUGAAAAACUGAUAAAUCAUUGACCUGUUGUUACAACUCAAAAACCAGAACUAAAAAUUGAUGAUGGAAUUUUGUCCCACAUAGUUAAAUAUAUAGGAUAACUCUACUUCACUUAUCCACUUAUUUCAUACUAUGACAUGUUGUUAGGCUGGAGAAGAUGCUAAAUAUUCAACAUUGGCAAAGGUUGAACUCCAGAAGAUGUUUAGAGGAAAAAAGGUACGUGCAGCUUCUUACAUUCGUUUCAUUUUUUCCCUCCUCAUCUUGGUUGUCCAAUAUACACAUUUGUGCAAUGAAUUGACCAUAAUAAAUCCAUUUAAAAUUUGUGCUUAUGUUGAGGAUGUGUCCUUUUAAGACUUUAUGCCUCCAAAACUCCAAAGCAGAGAUCUUUUAAGGAUCCCAAUAGGAAGAUAUAUAUCAUAUCUUUUAUGGAGUUUUAAGAGGAAAAGAAGUAGAAUUCUUUUUUCAAGAAUCCAGAGGAAUUGCAACAAUUCAUUGGUGUGAGACAGUAGUAAUGGCUCUAAAGCAUGUGUACUUCUCCAUGUUAUCCAAAGAAUUGUUCUUGUGUUCCUCUGUGGAAUGAAAAUAUACGGAUAUCCAGGCAGCAUACAAGAGUCGUAAAACAACGAUAAUGAUGGUGAUAUUGCUUUCUAUGUUCUUGCAGAUAAAGGAGAUAAGGGAAACGAACUUGUCAACUAACCAAGAGAAGUCUGAGAUGAAGACUCUGAAGUGGAAAGUUGAAGGUGACAAUGGAGAUGAAAUUGCCCCUCUUAGAGGUGGCCCUGUUGAUAAUUCAACUCUUGUUGUAGAGCUUGGUCCAAUGGAGAUCCGCACCUUCUUGUUAGAAUUUUAAGGAGUUUUCCUUUUUGAUGUAAUCUUCAUUUGAGUUGGGACUGAACUGUUAAAUAACCCAUGGAGGUCCUUCAUACCUUAAUUGUAUGUAAGUGACUGUAGUCCAUAGAACCACUGCCUUCCAUGCUAGGAUUAUUUCACCUAUUUUUCUCUAUCUUCCCACCAUGCAUCCUGCACUGUAACUGUGAUCUUCCUUCAUCAGUUAGUGGAAGAAGUUUAGAUGCCAUACUUAUGGCCAGUUUCUCUUAACUAUGUAACAUAUUUUAAAAUUGUGAGUUAUUGAGUUAUUAAGUUUAAAGUAGACAAUAUCUACAUUAGAGUGAGUAGUUAAACCCAAUGAUGAAAAUAUCGGUAAUCACGGAUAUAUCGAUAUUUCGAUUUUAUGGAUACCUCGGAUACAUCAGAGAUAUAUUGAUGGAUAUUUUGACAUAAAAUAUUGAUGAAUCUAAAAUUGAUCAAAACUUAAUAGAAGUGUAAGGAAAAAUUUUUUGAAAUAAAAUUAGAAGUAUAAUAAACAUUUUUAAGUUGUCUUGUUCAAGAAAUUUAUAUAUGUAUGAUAUAAUUUAUCAUAUUUAAUAAUAAUAUUAUACGCGUCAAUGAAAAUGUGAAAUUUAUGAGUCUAUAUUUAUUAUUAAAUUACAUCAAAUAUUAUUCGAUAAUAAUAUUGUGAUAUUUGAUUAUAAUAUGUCUAAUUUAAAAACAUAUUUAAUACUAAAAUUAUGAUCUAUUUAAUUCAAUUAUAUUAAAUGAUAUAAAAUAAAAUGAUGAUAUAUGUAUAAUUUUUUAAUAUUUAAUUAAUAUAUUAAUGAUAUUAAAAACACUAUAAAGAAAAUUAUUAUGAUAAUUUUUAUAUUUUUUGUAAUCAAUUAAAUAAAUUUAUUUCAUUUAAUUAUAAAAUAAUUAGAAUUAAUUUGCUCUUUAAAAUAUUUAUUUUAUAUGAUGAGUUUUAGUCUAUAUAUUUGGUGCAAUAUAUUCAACAAGGUGUAAGCUUGCCCGACUCAACUUCAUGGUGAACCUUUUGUUUGGGGUUAAAUCCGUAAUCAGUGUUUCGAUAUUUCUAUCUAGGUGUCUUGUGAAAAAAUAAAUAAAGAAUAGAUUAUAUAUAUAUAUAUAUAUAUUAUUUUAAACUCAUUUAACUUAUUUAUAUAAAGAUUAAAUAAUUUAAAAUUGUAUAAACUUAUAAUUAAUUUUAAUCAUAUUCUAUUUUCUUUGAUAUUUUCCAUUACACAAUUAAACAUAAGAAAAGUCAUUUUUUUUAGUCUUUUUUGUCCUUAAUACUUUUCAAGAACUAAAUAUUACUAACCAAACUAGGCAUAAAAUUGAAAGAACAAAAAAUAAGAAAUUUUUAAUGUGGUUCAUAAAUCAAUGGGUAAGUUCUCGCUCUCCUUAAUUUUGGCCGCACAUGGAAAAAAGAAAAAAAAAACUUUAAAUCAUAAAAUGGUUAAUUAUACGAUGAGGAUAAACUCAUCGUUCAUCAAAAAUAAAAAAUAAAAACUAGGGAACACUACCCCUCCAACCUUGCAAAUUGAUUGCCCAACUCGAUUCCCAUGAAUUUAACGAAGAGUUCAACCCUCGACAUCCUCUACAAAUUGCAAUAAAAUUGAUUCGGACUUCAUAAUCUAAUAUACAUAACCUAUAUAUGUAUAAGAUGCCCUAAUCAUAUAGAUAAAAAAGGGUAUGAGACCAUUAAACUCAUAGUAGACAAUAUUAACAAUGAAGCUUUGGAGGAAUCAAAACCACAUCUCUCUAUAUUGCAAUUUUGUGAUUGACUUUUGUCUUUCUUAGUGACUUACCCAAAUAGGGUGAUUCUCUUGUUGCAUGCACAACAAAAUGAAAUUUAAAGUCUAAAAAGGGGGACCAACUUCUCCAAAUUUUUAGUCACAUAUGGCACUAGGACAUGUGAAUAUAUCCCAAUUGCUUUAAGAGUGCAUUUGGGAGUGAUUCUAGAAAAAGUUUUUACCAUUUCUAAUACCCGAAUGAUGAAAAUUUUCAAGUAUUAAAAAUAUUAAAAAUGGUUCUUAGAAUCAAUACUAAACAUGCUUUUCUUUUACUUGAAUUGAUUACCAAUGUUUAUUUGAUAUAAAAUAUUUUAAGAUACUUAUAUUGAAAAGAAAAUGUAUUCAAAUGUGAUUAAAUCUUCUUUGCCUAAAAUCUUAGGAUUUGUUUAGGAAUUAUUUUUUAGAAUAAAAAAAAUAGAAAACACAUUUGAUAACCAACAACAGUUUUCUAUUUUUAAUUUUUAAGAACAUAAAAUUGAGUAUUUUUAGAUAACAUAUUUCAAUUAUUUUAUAUUAUUUUUAUUUGUUUUUUAAAGGCUAUUUUAAGAAAUAAUUAUACAAAUAUAUAAAAUGAUUAAAAAUAAAAUACUAGUUAUAAAAAUUAUUUUUAAAACAUAUUUAAAAAUAUUAAAAAUAUUUUAGAUUUCUAAAAAGAUUUUUGUUUUACAAAAAUUAGAGAACAAUUUUUAAAAAUGAUUUUUAGAAUUGUUUUCAAAAACAGUAAUCUUUACUAAUAUCUCUGUCUCUUUUCUAAAAUUUCAAAACAAAUAGUUGGAUAUGGCGGGAAUUCUCCAACGCUUCUACAACCGUGAAUUUUCCAACGAGCGAGGGCAUUUACGUCAUGAAAAUUAAAUCAUUUUGUACCGAACGCUGCGCGGGAGGUUCACCAGACGUUAACGGUAGGAUCAACACUUUGCUUCUUUUUUAUUUUUAUUUUUAUUUUUCCGUUUUCUUUUCAAAAGCCCUAAGAAAUCAGUUUCUUCUCAUACCCUGAUUCUGCAUCCUCCUCUUCUUUCGCUUCCAUGAGAGGUCAUUCCCCUUCCAAAAACCCACUUCUCAUCUCCCUUCUGCCCUUCCGUUGGCGAAACGAGACAGGUUCGGGAUCGGUUCUUUUCUCUUCCAGAUGAGCUUGAGAUUUUGCCGAAGAAUUAUGGUUGGACGAACGGUGCAGGCGAAUAAUUUGGAUGGAAUUUUGCAACAUUUUAGUGCAGAAGAUGGAUGGCAAAGCGCUUGUGGCGUGGACAGGUGGAAGUGAGGAAUGAGUUUUUGAACAAGAAGAUAGAGGUAAAUGACCCCACUGCAAGUGUAUAGCCUAUCACUCACUAUGAAAUUCCUUUUCCUCUGUUUCAACACGAAUGGAAUUUUAUUAAAGAAGUUUCCAUAUGGAAUACUUAGAAACCUAAACCUGGUAGCUAAAAUCAACCAAAACUUACAAUCAGUUGAUUUUGCUUUGAUACUAAGUUAAUGUAAGAUAACAAAAUCUAUUCUUUUGAGAGAGAGGGAAUAUAAGAAACAAGGAAAUUUAGGUAGAAGAGAAAACGAAAAUAUGUGAGAAAAGAAUAGAAAUUAGGUUAAGAAUAUAGAAAAGUAGGAUGAGAAAGAAAAAUAAUUAAUUUUUAGAAUAAUUCUGAUUCCUGAGAAUAAUCUUUAUUCCUUUGAUGUAUUUAACCCUGUUUAUAAGCAAUUCUAUAAGUCUAAAUAAAGUAAAAUACUAAAGCUAAUAGUAAGAAAACCAAGGUUCAAAGUAUCAGACCGAGCCUAGUACAGCUUAGCCGUGGCUGCAAUGAGUCAAUACCUGAGUUGCCUUUUUGCAUGAUUUAGUAGUGAUUCUUGUAACUUAGCUUGCUUGAUUAGACUGAUUUUCCUUAGUAAUUCCAAGUUAAACACCACAACUUAAAUUCAAUGCAACUAAAAAAAGAGAAGGGGGGGGGGGGGGGGGGGGGGGGGGGGUUUUGGAAGGCCCCCCUGGAAUUUUUCAAAAACUUUUGGCAAAAAAAAAAAAAAAAAUUUUUUUUUCCUUUUUUUAAAAAAAAAAAAAUUUAAGUUUUUAAACCCUUUUUUUUUUCCCAAAAAAACCCCCAAAAGGUUUGACCCAAAAAAGGUUGUUUAAACUCCCCCUUUUUAGGUGACAUCUAAAAAAAAAACCCCCUUUUUUUUUUUAAAGAGGUUGUCAAAAAAAAUUUUUUUUUNNNNNNNNNNNNNNNNNNNNNNNNNNNNNNNNNNNNNNNNNNNNNNNNNNNNNNNNNNNNNNNNNNNNNNNNNNNNNNNNNNNNNNNNNNNNNNNNNNNNGGGGGGGGGGGGGGGGGGGGGGGUUGGUUUGGGAAGGCAUCCUUGAAUUUCUCAGAGACUUCAUGCAACAAUGAAAAAAAAAAUUUGUUGUACCUAUUAUUAGGAACAAGAAACUUCAAGCUUUUAACUCAUCAUUUUUUCCUCAAGAAGACCAGCAUAAGGCUUGACCAUGAAAGUGUUGUUUGACUCUGCCAUUUCUAGGUUCAAUCUUAAGACUAAGCCCCAUUCUUGCUUUUAAAGUAGUUGUCAAUAAAAAUUCUUUAUCUAUUAAAGAGAAGUGUCUAGUUCCAUUUAAGUUAGGAUGUUAUUCAAAAGAAAUUUAUUGUGAUGUCUUACCCAUGAAUGUGGCCCAUAUCUUGUUAGAUGGUAUUUUAAUUCAAGAUGGUAAUCUUGUAGACUACUUUGGUAAAAAAAUUCAAUGACUCAAAACAAUGGUAUUUUACAUAUGAUAAGGAGUUUUAUGCCAUGGUGCAAUCUCUUCAUCAUUGGCAAUACCAUUUGUUACCAAAACAGUUUAUCCUUUGCUGUGACCAUUAAACCCUUAAGUACCUUAAUUUCCUAUGUAAAUUGAAUGAAAGAUAUGUUCUGUGGGUUAAAUUCCUUUAAGACUACACUUUCAUUCUCAAACAUCAUUUUAGGACAAAAAAUGAGGUUGUCGAUGCCCUUAGCUAUUAGAAGUCAAUUCACCAAUUCUCUUUCACAAAUGUCCCAUAGCAAAACGACAUUGUCAAACAAAAAAAAAAUUGACACCUAUUAGAAGUCACUCAGGCCUUAUUGUUGCAGAAAAAUAUUCCUAAGUCGCAUUAGAGAGAAAGAGUUUUGAUUGCUUCCCACUUAAUAAAUUGACUUCCCUCUAGGGUCUUGGGUCACAGAAGUCUAAUGGUUAUUUUCUCUUAGUUUUUUCCUAAAUUUCAUGGAUUUUUCAAACAACCUCCUAAAGUGUUUAGUUGUGUGCCCUUUGUUCAUAUCCAUGCUCGAUACCACAACAAACUUGAUCCACAUGCUUUUAAAUGUGUUUUUGUUGGGUAUUUAGCAACAAAAAAAGGAUAAAAAUGCUAUCACCAGGCUAUAUGAAAAUUUUUCACCUCUAUGGAUGUUACAUUUAUGGAACAAGAGUCCUUUUUCCCUAGUCCUUAUCAUCAAGGGGGACUUUGAUGGAAGAUAAGGAAGAUCUAUCAUUCCUUAACCCAUCUAUUAUUUCUCCUUCCAGCACUAUUGACAUCAUCAACUCCCAACCAACCAACUUUUACCCAUCGAUUCCUUCCACGUCAAAGUCCAAUGGUGAUACUCAAGAGAAAGUCAGUCCUUUAAUCACCUUAUUACUACAAGUUUACUAAAGGCGGAAGCUACCCAUACCUGAACCUAUGCAAGUCUAAGAAUCCGAUCCUAUAACAGGUAUUGAAACUUCAACCUUACCUUUAUUGUCAUCAUCUAUUCCAUCUGUGGUUGUUUAUGAUUUACACUUACCUAUUUCCCUUAGGAAAGGAACUAGAAAGUGUACCUAACAUCCCAUCUCUAAUUUUAUUUCAUUCAAUAAUGGUCGUCGUCACACUAAGUCUUCCUCACACAACUAAAUCCCAUUGAAAUCCCACAAACAGUCUAAAAGGCUCAUAGGGAUGAGAAUUGGAGAAACGCCACGAGUGAGUAGAUGAAAGUUUUGGAGAAAAAAAAAACAUUGGGAGAUUGUGGAACUUCCUUAAGGAAAGAAACUAAUGGGGUGUAAAUGGGUGUUUACUAUAAAAUAUAGAGCUUAUAGGACUUUAGAAAGGUAUAAGGCUAGAUUGGUUGUCAAGGGCUGUACCCAAACCUAUGGAGUGGAUUACCGGUAGACUUUUGCACUAGUGGCAAAGAUAAAUACUGUUAGAAUUUUAUUGUUAUUAGAAACUAACCAUGAUUGGACGUUACAACAAUUUGAUAUUAGAAAUGAUUUUUACAUGGUGAUUUAUAGGAGGAGGUGUAUAUGGAUACUCUACCAGGGUUUAAUAAAAGGUUUACAACUAACCGUGUGUGCGAGCUCAAGAAGGGAUUGUAUGGACUUAAACAAUCUCCUAGAGCUUGGUUUAGAAGGUUCACCAAGGCCAUGAUAGAGAUGGAGUUUCAGCAGAAUUAGGGAGAUUGCACUCUCUUUAUCAAAUUCUACCCUUUUUAUGAUUGUCAAGGGUGAUGAUUUGGAGGAAGUAAAACAACUUAAACAAUGGUUUAACAGGGAUUUUGAGAUAAAAGAGUUAGGAAAAUUACAGUAUUUUCUAGGAAUUGAAGUUGCUUACUCAAGAAAUGGUAAUUUUGUGUCACAACAAAAGUAAACUCUUGAUCUUCUUAAAGAAACAAGGAUGCUAGAAUGCAAGCUAAGUGAAACUCCAAUUGAACAAAAUCAUAGGCUAGGUGAUUCACUUGAAUCUGUAGUAGCGGAUCAAGGCUAGUAUCAACAUUUAGUUAGGAAGUUAAUCUACUUGUUACAUACCUUAUCAAGCACUUGUGAGUGUAGUGAGCCAAUUCAUGCACUCUCUUAGGGAAACACGUUUAAAAACAUUAUAGAGAGUUCUCUGCUAUCUGAAGGCUACCCCAAGAAAUGGAAUUUUGUUUAAGAAGAACGAAGAACCAAACUUGGAAGCCUUAUAUAGAUGUGGAUUGGGCAAGAUCAAUGACAAAUCGAAGUUCAACAUUAGGCUAUUAUAACUUUUUGGGUGGAAAUCUAGUUACUUAAAAAAAUAAGUAGUUGUUGGCAUGUUGCUAGAUAGAGUGCAGAGGUAGAAUUUAGAGCAAUAACACAGGGAAUUUGUGAAGUGCUUUGGUUAACAGUUAUUCUUGAUGAUCUUGGAAUAAGAUCAGAAUGAUCAAUGAAGUUAUAUUGUGAUAAUAAGAUAGCCAUCGACAUUGCUCAUAAUUUGAUUCAAUAUGACCAUACUAAACAUAUGGAGAUUGAUAGACAUUUCAUAAAAGAGAAACUGGAUCGUGGGUUGAUUUGCAUUCCAUAUGCUUCAAUGAAUGGGCAACUUGAUGAUAUCCUAACCAAGAAACUAACUAAUCACUCAUUUCAAGCAAUCACUAACAAGGUAGGAAUAGAUAAUAUCUAUACCCCAGAUUGAGAGGGAAUGUUGGGAAGUCAAAACAAUCCAAAAUUAGGAAUGAUUUGUACAUUUUGUAUUUAAUUUAGGCUAAUUGUGAUUGUUUUUUUCUUUACUGUAAAUCUAACCAAUCUGAUCCUGAAUUUUGUGAUUGCACAGCUAGGUAAUUAUUUUCUUUUUAGUGUAAAGGAGACCUAUAUAUAUAUCUAUUCUGUUGGAAAGUCAAAACAAUCCAAAAUUACAAAUGAUUUGUAUAUUUUUUAUUUAAUUUAGGCUAAUUGUGAUUUUUUUUUCUUCACUGUAAAUCUAACCAAUCUGAUCCUGAAUUUUGUGAUUGUACAGCUAGGUAAUUAUUUUCUUUUUAGUGUAAAGGAGUCCUAUAUAUAUGUAUUUAUAUAUAUAUGUACUGAUUCAUUCAUAAAUAAGAUGAAUUAUUCUUCAUUGUCAUUAGUGAGAUUCAAAGGAUUCUUCUGAAUUUUCAAGGACUCAAGCUUAGAUGACCAAUAAGUUCUUUGUUUUGAUAAGUAAAAGUGUUAUAUUAAGAAGAGGCACUAAAUUAGUGGUGACCAAUAAGUUUUUUGUAGAUAAAAUAGUUUCUUUGUCCUGAUCAUUUGACCUCAUUCAGGUUCAAGGAAACUAUUAUAUGAGCAUCAACCCACUAGGGGCUGGUGCAUGCUGGUGCCAAAAAACCGCCCAGGAAAAUUUACUCACCACUUCUCUUAGCUUUCACACAUGAGGUAUGGCUUGAUUCUGCUCAUGUUUUAUUAAUCAUCAUAGCCCCUUAAUUUGUUAAACAAUUGCUCUUACAGAAUUCAGAGUCCUGGACAACAUCUCAUUUGAUGAAAUCAAGUUCCAUGGAACCAAAUUACAGUUUACCCCUUAAUGUUGCUGUGAUUACUCGUCAGGUGAUUGUCUGAAAUGACAGUAGAAUCUACUCUCUCUCUCUAUAGCUUUUGUUUUGCAGGAGUUGGAUGAUGGAAGUGUGCUCCUCUGUUUGGCACAUCUAUCUUGUUCUGACACAUUUCAAGUCAAACUCAAUAAAUCCUUACAUCCUAACUACUGUUUGCCUGAUACACAAGGUUUUUUUGCUUAUUCUGUAAUACCUGUCUUCAACCAACUUUGUUGUCAUAUUCCAACACAUCCAUAUGUGGUUCUCUUUCAAAAUGUUGAGUACAAAAUUGCAGUUGAGGAUCAUAAAAAGAUGGAAAUUUGAAGUUAACAGUUCCUUUUAAGUUCUUCACCACUGGCUUUUGAAAUUAUAAAUGUCCAGUUUAAAAAGCUAAUGGAUUUUGUACCUGACUAUAAUGACAGAUCUUUUUUGUUCUUACAACUUAAAAGAAUACAAGUACUUGUUUGGAGCAUUGAUCUGUUGAAUCUUAUAAGCUGCAAUCAAUGAAGUAAUUUUGUUCCAAAUAGUUAAGUAAAUGGAAUAGAUUUACUUCUCUAAUCAAUAUUUCAUGUUGUGAAACAUGGAUAGGCUGGUGAAGAUGUUGAAUAUUCUACAAUGUCAAAAGUUGAACCAAGGAAGAUGUUUUCUACUAGGAAAAAGGUAUAUGAGCUUCUUAUUAUGCUUUUUUUUUUUACCAGUUCUUUUUUCCUUCCUAGAUAUUCUAUAAACUAUCGGUAUGUUUAGUUCUAUAAAAGUGCUAAGGAAAAAAAAUGUUGGGCUAUGUUUGGUUCUUGGAAAAUAUUUAGGAAAGAAAAAAAUAUAAUAUGGAAAAUGAUUUUCUCUUAUUUGGUUUUACUAUGGAAAUAUGAAAAAAAAUUAAAAUUAAUUAGAAACUUAUGUAUUUUAAAAUUAUUAAUCUUUAUAUAUAAAAGUUAAAAUAAUUGAAAUGAGUUUGAAAAGUCUUAAAAAAAAGGAUAUGAAUUUGAAAUGUCAUAUAAAAAUAAUUUGUUGACUUCAAAUCUAAUUUUUAUUUUCCUUCACUUCUUUUUUAGUUUUUUUUUUUCUCUAUUUUCAUUCCCACAAAUUUUCCAGGAACCAAACAGAGUCUAUAUAUGCGUCGGUUGUGCUUAGUGAAUCCCCUUCUCAGACAUGAUUUUGGUCUGGAAUUUAUGUAUAUAUGGUGGAUGUAAUCUUUCAUAACUUGAUGCCUUGAUCCCUAAGAUAGAAUUUUUAUAGGAAAAAAAGUAGACAGUUUUUCAAGAAUAUGAAGGAAUUGCAAUUAUUCGUUGGUAUUAGAAUCAUAUUUGACUCCACUUAUUAUUGGCUCUGGAUAUGUUCUUCUUCAUGCUAUCCAAGAACUGUCCAUGUUCCUUUUUGUAAUGGAUGAAUUGGGAUUUCCUGAAAGCAUAACCUGGCUGCAAGAGUCAUACCAUAAUUAUGAAUUUAGUUUUGCUUGAUUGGGAUUCAAACUUGCAGAUAAAGGAGAUGAGUUUGUCAACAAACCAAGAGAAGUCUGAGAUGACAAAGAAGACCUGGAAAGUUGAAGAUGACAGUGGAGAGGAACCAACUCCACUCAAAGGAGGUCCUGUGGAUAAUUCAACUCUUGUUGUUGAGGUCCAAUGGAGAUCUGUACUUUCUUGUUGAAAUUUGAAGGAGUUUUCGUUUGAGAUAUCAUCUUCAAUUUUUGGUUUAACUGAACUCUACAACAAUACUUGACGGCAAUAUACUUUUGCUUAUAUAAUCCAUGAAGUUCUGAUUUUUCUGUUCAAUUCUAUUUACUGGUGGGAACUUACAUUGGUGAAGAAAAAAGGCCUCGGUUGAAUUGAACAAGAAUAUAUAUUUGCCUCAAAAAUUUCGAAAACAGGGUUGGGAUAUGAUACCAUGCCUGAAGGAUGUUAGUGUUGGAAUCCAGUAAAUCCUGAAGUUGGAAGCUACUUAUGGUUUAGAACAAGGGCAGUGUUGUUUUGAAGCUGUAAGGUGUACCAAGAAGCCAAUGUAAAAACACAGGCAAAAAAAGGCACAAAUUGUAGCGCCAUGUCUUGCCUUAGACUCUGGCCUGGAGGUCUUGUGUGGACUUCAUGAAAUAUGGAACUCUUUCUCAGGUUUUCAGAAUGUGGAAUAAAAAUAGCAGCCAAAUUGCAAUGAGAUACAACCAUUAAAAACCCCCUAUAUUUGGUGGUAGCCACUUCCAACACCGUAAAUUCUCCCGACAAGCGAGGGCAUUCUUGUCAUGCAAAUUAAAACCAUAUUGUACCGAACGCUGCGCGGGAAGGUCCCAAGACAGUUACGUUAAAAGUCUCUCUCCCUCUGCCAUGUUCGCUCUACAUAACUUCCAUUCAUUUCCCAAUCAUUGUCUCUCGGUUCAACAAUGGCUUCCCAAAACCCUAACCCUAACAAACCAAACUCUCUGUAUCCUGAGAUCAUCCAAGCGGACCCUCCUCCCUUCAUCUCAAACCCGAAUUCUUCAUCUUCCUCUCUCUAUCCUUCCAUCGACAUGAGAGACUUGGUCGAAAAUCUCUUCCCAGAAAACCCUCACCCUACUGCUCCUCCUGAAUCCCUUGAAGAGGUUCUCGUCAUGUUACCCGGCGUCAUCCUCCACCUCAUCGACAAGCAGUACAGCGUCGAGCUCGCAUCCGGCGAUCUAUCUAUCAUUCGUCUCUGGCAGGGGAAUAACAUUGUCGCCGUUCUCGCCCGCGUCGGCCAGGAGAUCCAGUGGCCGUUGGCCAAAGAUGAGGCGUCGGUGAAGGUUGACGGCUCGCAUUACUUCUUCUCUCUUCGCGCAAUGAAGGAGAAUGGAUCGGGGUCGGAUUCGAGCGAUGAUGAGGGGAACGAAGGGGAGAAUCGGUUGAAUUAUGGUUUGACGAUUGUGCCCAAGGGACAGGAGCCAUUGGUGGAGAUGUUGGAUGGAAUUUUGGAGCAUUACAGCAGUUUUACCAAGGUGGUGGACGUAUCAAAGGAGGGGAUGGAGGUGUUGGAAGUUAAGUUGUCGCCGUUGGAGAAGGACAAGGAGUUGUCGGAAGAAAGGAGCUCUGCGUACUGGACGACAUUGGCACCUAAUGUGGAGGAUUAUAGUGGGACUGCAGCCAGGUUGAUUGCUGCCGGAUCUGGGCAGCUGGUCAAGGGGAUUUUGUGGUGUGGGGAUGUGACCGUGGAUAGGUUGAAAUGGGGGAAUGAGUUUUUGAAGAAAAGGAUGUCGCCUGCUUCCAACACGGAGAUUAGUCCCCAAACUAUGAAGAAUAUGAAAAGGUUUGGAUUGCUAUUUUUCUAUAUACACUUGUUUUUACAUUGCUCAUCUGUUUUAAUAUUGUUUUUGUUUUGUUUUGCUUUGUUUUUUUUUUAGUUGUACCUGCAGUUUGGACUCCCUGUCUCUCACUUAGUUGUUUGUUUGCACUUCUAUAUUUAUUUUGUCAUUCAUGACAAAACUUAAGGUUGUUUUAUGUUUGUCUAUCCAAUACAAAUUGAAUAUGAAGGUAAAAUCCAGUCAUGGAAGAUGACCAAAAAUAGCAUCCACCUCACAUAUGGUGGUAAUUUUUUGGAAGAGUAUCAUUUAGGGAAAUAUUUAAAAGGGUGGCAUUAUUAUCUGAGCUGUCUAAUAAACUGCUGGGUUCACUAUGGACAUUGUUGAGAAUGGCCCGAGGUGCACAUGAGCGAGUGAGACCCAAACUAUUUUAUAAAAACUAUAAAUUUGGACAUGCAAUGUUUAUUAUAUGCCUAUGUAUCAUCAAAUAUGUUAUAUUAAAAUAAGGAUUCAGGAUUUAGGAAAAAGGAAAAGAAAAAGAGGAAAAAAAAGAAAAGAAAAGAGACAAAAUACACCUCUUCAACAAACUGAGCCCUAGUAGACGAGGUAUAACAGCAGGGGGAGUUGUUGCACCUUGGUUCUAGGUGCACCUUUAACAACUAUUAUGUGGGAGUAAUAAAACAUUGCCUGUGAAAACACUGCCAUUUCCAGAAUUGAUCUUUUGGACCCUCACUAUCCAGUAGUGGUCUGUUUUCUUCAAUUUUGACCUGUCUUGAGUGAUGGACCUUCACCUUGGGUGCUAUGUUAUUGUUAAAAAAUAGGUCCAUUUAAGUUCCAACCAGUAUGCUUUGAUUAUUUUACAAGUUCAUCUAGCACGAACAUUAGGCGGGGACUUAGAUGCUGAUUAGCUCUCAGGGUCUUUUUGGUCUUCCUAGGAGUAGUUGCUUAAUACUAAACAGCCACAUAUGAUUUUAUGCUUUUACUGUUCCUGUAGGGUAGAGAGAGUCACAUUGGUGACUGAGAAAGUAGCUACUGGGGUCCUCUCUGGAGUUGUGAAGGUUUCUGGAUUCUUCACAGGUUCUGUGGCAAACUCAAGAGUUGGCAAGAAAUUUUUUGGCUUCAUGCCUGGAGAAAUGGUCCUUGCUUCUCUGGAUGGAUUUAGUAUGUUGAUCAUCUCAAACUCUUUAUGCUAUUAUGCUCAUUAAUAAGAGAUAUUGCUGGAGAAAAUGGUUAAUAACCUUUGUUUACACCUUUAUUUAUUUUAUGCGCUAGAACAAUGUGUGUUCUAUAUAUGUAAGUAUAAAUUUGGGAUUGUCAUGCAAUGAAAUUACAUUAAACACAGCUCUUUUCUGGAAGUUGAAAAUUAUUAGCUUUAGUUUUUGAGGACAAAUCACUACGACACUGCUUGUGAAUAGAUAAGAUAAACAAAUUUGAAAUUUCACCAUGUUGUUCCAGCCUUCAAGGAUUAAGCUGGUUAUUUGAGUUAAGAUACAUUGAAUGGGGUGAAAGUUGAUAUUUCACACUGUGUAGAUCGUAUGAUAUUGGAUAUGGGAAAGGGACAAUUUAUAUGUUUUUUCAUCUUACAAGGGAUCAAACUUGUUGAUAAUUUGAAUUCCAUGCACCCGGCUCCUGUCAAAUUAUAGACAUUUAGCAUUCUUUCUAUCUGGAAUAGUUCCUUUUGCAUGAACAUUAUCUUCAUAUAUGUUUUAAUUUCCAAGCUUGAUAUUCCCAGAGAGCAAGCUUAGCUCUCUUCACAGUCUUACAAUAGAUUUAUAUGAAGUAAACAUGCUGCCCAAGAGGUAGCUGGUCCAACAGGAAGGGAGUUUAUUCAAGUUCUCUGCUUACUUUAGCAACCUAUGUGAUAUAGGCAGAUCGGUUUGCAAAGCCCUGAUCUAUGCUUUUCCAUGAUGGAAUAUGUCUAUAGUGCUUAUAUAGGAAAUCAAGCACUUGAAUUAUCUGCAUCUUAAGCAAUAUCUAGAUCAAGUUAAUGGAAAAUCAUAAGCCCAUCUAUCCUAUAGAAUAUGGUUUCACUUCUUUCCAAUGAUAAUUUAAUGGAUAUUUAUGUCAGUCCCAAACCCCUCCACCACUGGACUCCCCCAACCUUCCAACACCAGCACACACUCACACGAAGCCCCAAAAUAGGAGUGAAUUGUGUGGAAAUAAGUUCAUUUACUGCAUCUAAACUUUUAAGACAAGUACAAUUGUUCCUAGGUCAACAUUACCCUAGAUUAAAUUUUUAUUGGUGCUUUCCACAUGUGUAUGGCUCUGCUUCCUAAUGCAGUUUAUUUUGUUUUAUUUUAUUUUUGUGUAUUUUUUUCUUUUUUUUUUACCUCUCGUGAAAUAGGUAAGGUCUGUGAUGCGGUUGAAGUAGCCGGAAGGAAUGUUAUGUCAACAUCAUCCACUGUGACCACUGGACUUGUGUCACAUAGGUAGACUUCACAUGAUAUUUUUUAUUUUAAAGCAUUCAGGAAAAAGAAGUAAAAUACAAUAGAAAUCAGCCAAGUCUUUAGGACCCUCUCUAUUCAAUGGGACUAUUUCUUCCCCCAUUAUAUACUUCUAAUUUUUUGCCAGCAGUAAUAACUGGAGUUUUGUCUAUCCUUGAUAUAUAUUAUUGAUUUCAAAACUAAGGCCCUGUUUGGAAAUUUCCAGAUAGAGUAAAACAACAGUAUUUUUUUUUUUUGGUUACUUUUUCUUUGACGUAACAGAGUAAAAGAACAGUAAGACAUUAUCCUUCUGUAAGGAUGAACUCAUAAAUUUGGAGGGCUGCAUUUACGAUGAUGCAGGUAUGGGGAGCAAGCAGGUCAGGCAACAAAUACAGGGCUUGAUGCUGCAGGUCAUGCUGUAGGGGCUGCAUGGGCUGUUUUUAAGAUCCGGAAAGCUUUCAACCCAAAAAGUGUUAUUAAACCUACCAGCCUGGCUGCUGCUAAAGCUGCUGCAGCUGAGAAGGUGGCUAAGAGAUCCAAGUAACCGUUGAUAGGAUGUGAUUAUUGAAAUUUUGAUUGCUGCUGUGCAUAUUGUUAAUCUGUAGGUGAAAGUUUCAGUGUGUGUACCUUCUUUGUAGUUAUAUUAUUUGUUUGUUUUAUGUUGUAAGGAUUACAUGAAUGUGAGUUUGUCACAAGAAUCAACUGGAAAACGAUUUUAUUGGAUUGGGCCUCUCCAAAGUUAGGUUUAAAGGAUGAGUUACUAGUUAUCUAGGGUCGAUUUGGACAUACUCAAAACUUCCUGCUGAAAUUGAAUGGUCCCAGUAAAAGGUCAUUAAUCCAGACAGUGCCGAGGAAGAGGAAGGGAGCCAUCACCAAACCAAAUGUUGCAUGUAGGUUUGAUACAAACUCAAAGAGCCAGACCGAUCUGAAGUAAUCUGUGGCAUUUUCCUUGGAGUUCUGGGAUGGAGAAAUUAAGAAGUGCCCCCAGGUUGGUUUGAUUUUGGAUUUCCUUAUCUGAUGAAAAAUUAUAGUUGGAACCAACAUGAAAAUGGGUGUUCCCACUGCCCAGCACUCCCAUGGUGUAAGUGGGAUUACUAGUUCUCAACUAUGAGGGUGUGUUAGGUGAAUAUAUGAGGAGAGACGGUUCCUAGUAUUUCACUAGUCAAAAGUAAAUAUCGUUUUCGUUGGCUUGGGCAGGGCAUGUAGAGAGACAAGGCAGAAUAUAUGUGUUUGGUAGCGUGAUUCAGAAGAUCGUGCUGCUUUAUUCUGGUGCUUGUAUCAGCAUCAACAAGGAUCCUUGCCAAUGGGGCCAUGAUAUCUUGGGGGACUUUUUUCAAGAUCAGGUAUGGGAUCAACACUUGUUGAGGAGAUAGGGUUGAUGGCAAUACCCUUUGCUUCAAGCAUUACACUGAGGGGCCCCGCCUGUCAUAAUCAAACAAUUUGGUGGAACCCAACAACUCUUUGAUGAUUGACAAGAGUAGACCACAUUAGAAUACGUGGUUGACUCACAAGAUUGGUUACGAGUAUGAGUGAAGAUGAGUAUAUACCACACUUAUGACCGUACAUAAAAGGGGUUGGCUGGCAUCAACGUGGGGAUGAAGAGAUGAGUAUGUGUGAGUUUGUGUUCCUUUUAAUUUGCUCCACUAGCUCCCUCAAUGGCCAUGGACUUUUUCAACCUCAGUCCACAUAAACGAAUCAGAUCUUCCUUUAGUGGACAAACACACCCUCAAUUAUCAAAUGGUUCAUCCACCCACACACCUUGCCAUCCCAUGCCGGUCUUUUCUUUUUCUAUUAUUUCUUUUUCCUACAGAAAUGGGCUUUGCGAAAGAGAAAGCUAAACCUGAAAAUGAAACCUAGAUUUUUCUUUUACCUCCCAAGAUAAUCUCAAAGGAAGAGGACAGCAGACCUAUGAAGGAAAUCUGCUCUGGCUUUACAAGUUUAAGGAUAAAGGAUUCCCAGCGCUACAUCAAUAAGACAAGAAAACCAGGACCAAUAAAUUAACUCAAGAUAUUUAUUCCCACUAAUCCCCUUUGUUACUUUAAACUUUAAAAGGUGAAACACGCGCCGGUGCCUUAGCUUCAGUGGGUGUUAAUAAGCAAAGCAAUCCAUAUAACCCUCCCCUACGGACGGGGAUGAUGGAUUACUGAGUUGGAAUCACUAAUUUUAUGUUCUAGAGGCUAUGAUGCAUGCCUAGUCAAGCCACAUAAUGCACACCCAUGCUUUGUGUGAUUAAAUUUAGCCGCCCCUUGCUAUCGGACCCGCACUACCCCCCUCUGGAGAUAAGAUCAACACCUAGUCUUAUUCUUAUUAUUACUUUUAACCCAUUUUUUAAUUUGCGAUUUGCCUUUUGUGGGACUAAUUUGACUCUACAUGAAGCUCAUAGGCUAUGCCUUGUAAGUUGUAAGUCACUAAAUUGUAACCCCAUCCCUUAUGCCGCAACCCGGAUCUCCAGGAUUCCCAUAUGGCCAAAUUGCCCAUCUCAUCAUUUGAUAAGCCGUAAUAACUAAUUAUUAUUAUUUUUUCUCUUUCUUUCUUUUUUAUGGUUUUUUUUUUCGGAAAAUUAAUUGCUUGGGCGAUUACCCAGUAUUGACGACUUGUAAUUUGAUGGGGAUUAUUGUAGUUGGAUCACAUCAUUAAAACUCUUAUUUCUUGAACAUUCCCCAACUCACUCCACUCAGAGAGAACACCUACCGCUUAGGCAAUAGACAGAAGGUGACCACCCCAGAAAAGGAAAGAAUUUGACACCUUGAACCUUUAUGUUUCCAACCAUGGGCCAAUAGCAUAGUUCCCAUAGUCGACAUGGGGCACACCCAGGAUUGUAGUGAUCUGAAUCUAUUUCCUGCUUAAAUUCCCAUAAUUAACGGUCAAAUUUAGCAAAGACAUUUGCAAAAAGGAGGGAGGUGUGGAUGAGGAAUAAGACCACACCCUCACUUUGGAACAUUGCAAACAAAUGUGCCUUCAUAAAGUGGGAAAUGACACCAGCAGUAAAAUAAACCACAAACCCAAGAAUUCUCUAUUUCUCUCUCUCUCUCUCUCUUUCUCUCUCUCUCUCAAACAUUGUUGCUAAUCAUAUACUGGAAGCUCGUUUCAUUUUCAUAGUCCCGAAAGAAGAAGGUGUGGCAGAGAAAGCAAAUAGAACCCACCCUGUAAGUUUUGAAUCUCCACCGUCUCCAACCGAGCCAAUGGGGUCACACCUGAGAAGGGUCUUCAACAGAAUCUCUGGUUUUGUCAGUCCUUGGAGAAGAAACCAAGCUCCUCAUGGUCGAAGAAUUUUCCAUAGGGAAGUCCAACAAGAAGAAUUCCAGUAUCCAAGUAACAGUUGUCUCUCAUCCUACUACAGUGUCUUCGUUGCUCGCCUUGCUAUCAUGGUUGGUGGAAAUUUUCUUUGCACUUUAGUAUAAUGAAUUUGUGGUAUUGUUAUGACAAUUAACUCGGAUAUGAACUAUACAAUUAGACAUGCCUGUGAAUAUUGAUGUGCAUAACUUAGUAUGAUUAAUCUUGAUGAUGCACAUUAAAUUAUCUUGAAUGCAAUCAUCUUAUGCCUGCUAAGGCUCAAGAGGAAUAUUUCAGACAUGAGGGGUAGAGCAUCUUGGUAAGGAAUAGCCACUGUGUCAACUUAAUGGCAGAACUAUAUGGUCACCCACAAUCCAUGAAACGUUCCCAUCUCUGCUUAAGCAAUACUAGUUCAUUGCCUUCUCCCAGUUGCUUGAGAUUCUACUGAUGCUGUUCUUAUCUUUGGCCUCAUAUCCCCUUUCCCAGCCGUAAUUGUGCACUUGAUUUUUUGCCUCUUCCAGCAAUAAAGGAAUAAUUUGUGUAUUUUCCUUUUUCAUGAACUGUAAGAUAUUCCGUCUUUUGUAAACUACAAGAACUUAUUCUGUAUUGGAAAAUAUAAUUUCUGUGUAUACGUAGAAACACCAAUUUGGAGGAUCAACAAAUUACCUUGUGUUCAUGGUUUUCUGCAGGUCAUGCUAGCUAUUUUAAUUGGACUGCUAACAAUCUUGACAUGGCACUUCACAAGGAUCUAUACAACGAAAUCCAUAAACAGCUUAGCAUACGGCCUUCGCUAUGAACUUCUACAGCGUCCCAUAUUAAGAAUGUGGAACAUCUUGAAUUCUACUGUUGAAAUAACAACAGCCCAGGUUAAGCUGUCAGAGUAUGUAAUCAAACGGUAUAGCAAACCCACUACUCAAGCACAACAAGUUGAGGUUGAUUACUUAGCCAUUCUUCUGUUAAAAUUGUUAUUCCUCAAUAUUUUCUGGUCUGUUGGGCAAUAGUGUUCAUUAACAUUUUGAUUCUGACUCUGAGCAGCUGUAUGAAGUGAUGAGGGAUGUAACAUGGGCACUAUUUGCAAGCCGUAAAGCUCUCAAUGCGAUAACCAUAAACUACAGGAACGGUUUUGUCCAGGCUUUUCAUAGAGAUCACAGGAGUAACAAUACAUUCUACAUCUUCUCUGAUCUUGUCAAUUAUUCAAUCAGUGGGUCUUACAAUUCCAAUACACUGUCAUCUCAUCAAGGGUGGAAUGAUCAAUCCAUACACAGUAACAUUUCAGCAAUUUGGUAUCAUGUGCCACUAGAUCCUGUAUCUGGUGAGAGAAUAGGAAAGCCAAAAGCAAUCCCUCCAGAUGAUCAAAUCAACAUUGCAGGCCUAUCACAAGUUCCCGAUGGUGUAGCUUCCUGGCAUGUAGCAGUUAGCAAGUAUACAGAUUCACCGUUACUUUCAGCAGCAUUGCCAGUUUGGGAUCCAUCCAAUCAAAGUAUAGUGGCUGUUGUAGGUGUCACAACAGCACUCUAUAGUGUCGGCCAGCUGAUGAAAGAACUUGUGGAAGUUCACAGUGGGCACAUUUAUUUGACCUCUCAAGAGGGAUAUUUACUAGCUACUUCAACAAAUGCUCCUUUGUUAACAAAUUCAUCAACUGGGCCGAAGCUUAUGCUGGCUAUCGAUUCUGAGGAUCGAGUCAUACGCUUGGGAGCUGAGUGGCUCCAAAGAACCUAUGGCUACAAAUUUCCUCCAAGUCAUGUGGUUCACGUGGAGAAUGCCAAGCUUGGUCAUGAGCAUUAUUAUAUUGACUCGUUUUUUCUAAAUUUAAAGAGACUUCCCAUGGUAAGUUUUUUAACUAUGUUUACUCCUACCUUGCAUCAAAACUUAGGUUCUACGGUUUCAAGAACUUGUAGGAAGGUGUUGGAGACCAGGUAGAAGAGUUUACAAAUGGAGUGCUUUGUGUUUCGUUAUGCUAAAGAAUGCCAAUGCUUUCAUUUGUUGGUUGAUUGGCUCAUGUUAUAUAUUAUUAUAAGCUAUCAAGAAAUUAAAAAAGGUAACACUUUGUGCAGGUGGGGGUUAUCAUCAUUCCAAGAAAAUACAUAAUGGGGAAGGUCGAGGAGAGAGCCCUCAAAACAUUGAUCAUACUAAUAUCUGCAUCUCUGUGUAUUUUAGUCAUUGGAUGUGUUUGCAUUUUGAUAUUGACAAAUGGAGUGUCAAAAGAAAUGAAACUAAGAGCAGAGCUGAUAAGCCAUCUUGAUGCAAGAAGGCGGGCUGAGGCAUCAAGCAACUAUAAAAGCCAGUUUUUAGCAAACAUGAGGUUAGUAUUAAUCUGACUUUUAGAUUAUACUGACAAAUAGUUUAUGACAUGGAGUGAAUUUAUUUAUUGGAGGAACGAGAAUGAUAGACCAGAGGAUAUCUUCCAAUGGGGUUAGCAGCAUCAAAUAUGACUCAAUUUAAGCAUAACACAUGGGAACAUGAACUUAUAUUUAAUUAGUUAAAUGACCUUUAAAUAAUAGACCACACUUUUUAUCAGUUGAAAAACAAUUCCCUUAUAGUGAUGAAAGCUUCAUUCUCAUUUGAGUACUUUUCCAAUGAUAUAAAUUUUCUUUCCUUUUCUUCUUUUUUUUUUUUUUUUUUUUUCUUUCUUUUCCAUAGAAGAUUUCCAUUCAAAUUAUGACAUGACACCCAGUUUCAGGUCUAAUUCCUUGUUUCCAUUAAUUUCCACCUUGCCUUUGGUCUGCAGAUUCUUAUUGAAACUGAUAUUAUACAUGCUUGAUUGGUCUGCUGAUGUGCAUCUUGAUAUCUAACCUUCACUGUUUCUUUAGAUGUUUAUUUCUUUCUUAGGAAACUGUAGGCUAUAUGCUUGAGGACUCAUCUGAGUUUUAUGUCAGUUACUAUGGGAGAUUAAUUAUUGUUUGUGUUGUGUUACAGUCAUGAACUGAGAACACCUAUGGCUGCAGUGAUUGGGUUGCUGGACAUUCUUAUAUGCGAUGAUUGUCUCACAAAUGAACAAUAUGCAACAGUUACCCAGAUUCGUAAAUGCUCAACUGCUCUACUCCGACUUCUAAACAACAUUUUGGACAUCAGCAAGGUGCGCUAUGAAGACAUGCUUAAUGUUUUGUUUAUGGGCAGGAUAAGUAUAUUAUAACAAUUGAUGUGUAGGAAGAUAAUAAAAGUUUGUAUAUGAUCUAUUGAGUGAGAGAAUCAGUCAAUCACUAGCAAACACUGAUCAGAUGUUUAAUAGCCAACUGACUUAUCAAAAGUUUGAGGGUUAGCUGGCCUUGCUGACAUCCAUGUGCUUGGUACAAGCUUAUGUUAGUUAACAAUGUUGUUUCAAAAAUUAUAUAAUUAGGAGCAGAAAUAUGUUCUGAAGUACUAUUGUUUUAAUCCAAAAACUGAAAUUCUCCCUUGAAACUCAUUUUUGCACCAUCUUUAAAAACUUCAUAUAGGUGGAAUCUGGGAAACUGGUUCUGGAAGAUGCUGAAUUUGACUUGGGACGAGAACUUGAAGGACUCGUCGAUAUGUUCUCUGUGCAGUGCAUUAACCACAAUGUGGAGACUGUUCUAGAUCUCUCAGGUAUGACAAUAAUAUUCAUUGUUUGAAGCCCUCCACCACAACUCUAAUAAUAAAUCUGAAAGAACUGAGGUAACCAGUUGAAUAAAAUGAUCAUUUGUCUUCUAAUAUCUGUUUUUUAUUUGUGUUAUUGGUUUCUAUACUUAUUUUGUAGAUGAUAUGCCAAAGUUAGUUCGAGGAGACUCUGCUAGAGUUGUUCAAAUAUUUGCAAAUCUAAUCAGCAAUUCUAUCAAGUUUACAACAUGUAAGUUCAGCUUUCCUAUUGCUAAAGGCAAGUUCUAGUUGUGCAAUAUUGCAGCUUGAGUAAUUGAAUGGGGGAAGGAAAAACUCAUUAUUCAUGGUUUUUUAUGGAAAAUUUCUUAAAAUCCCAGUUAAAAAGAGUUAGGUGGUGUUUGUUUUUUUGACUUUUUGCUGAAAGCAAUUUAGUUUUAGAAUUUAGGUUGUUGUUUUUCUACUUUUUCAUGACUUAUUAUAAACUUUUUACUAAAUAGAAAAAGCCAAAAUAUGUAGCUUUUUCUAAAUAGAAAAAAUAACAUAUUGGUUUUUUUUACUUUUUAAUACUUAAUAGAAAUAAAAUACUACAAAAACAAACAACCUAACGUUUAACACUAUUAAGCAUUAAGGUUCUAUUUAGAAUUAAGUAAAAAAACAAACACCACCUUAAUGUCUCUCAUAUUUCACAAGCCUACAAGCAUAUCCCAACAUGUCAACCAUUUUCUGGCUCUCCUGGCUAUGGAUAAGCACAAGGUUGAAGAUAAUAUAGUUUUCUUCUUCUCUGGGGGUUUCUUCUAUUCGUCAGUUUAUAGAAGGUUUAUAAGAGGAGAGUUAUCUUGAUUUCUCAUUUCAGUUGCCAUUUGCUCUUAUGGUCAUGGUUGUGAACUUGUAAAAUGCAUCGUGUAUUGUUUUUCAAUUUUUCCAUAUUAUGUAUCAUAUUGUAUAGUGUAUCGUAAGUUUUUUUUUAUACAGUGAAGCAUAAAUAGAAAAAAUAUGCAUAUAUGUGCAUAUAUAUAUAUUGGAAGCAUAAAAUAGAGAGUAAUAUAUAACCAAUUUCAUGAAAGGCUAUAAGAUUUAAAGAAUUAAACAAUACUAUAUGGUAUGAAAACAUUGAAUAUUAGAGUUCUAAAAAGAUCAAUCUAAAAAAAAAAAAAAAAAGAGUUUAAUGUAUAGGCUUAUCACAAUAUCCACAAGAAUAGACUUUUUAAAUUUUUAGUUCCAAAUUAUUAUUAGACAUAUGUGCUUAUAUAUGUUGACAUAUAUGUUUUUAUGUGUUGUCUCCAAAGUUUCAACUGUUCAUCUUCGCCAUCAUUUCUUCCCCAUUAAAAAAAAAAAUUAAAAAUUUGUAGUAUAUUAAGUAAAAGAUUUUAUUCACCAAUCCCCAUUCAAAACAUUCAAAUGAAAAUUAUCCAAUAUUCAUUGUAAGAACAAAUUUACUUAACUUCCAUUAUGGCCUUUGAUAACAACCAUGUAGCUUUUCAUGUAGGAUUAUUUGACCUCUUUUUCCCUUUGUGAUCAAUUUCUAACCCAUUUUGUACACUUUAAACAAUUAAUAUAAUAAUUCUUUUAACAAAAAAGUUUCAAUUCUAUUGUUCUUUAAAAUUAUGAAAAAUACUUGAAGGAACUAGAAUUAGAUCUCUUUUCCAUUUCCGUUCAAGAGUUCUUAUGUGUUUUCACACUCCUUUGGGAGAAAAGAUAAAAGUAAAACUAAUUAUAAAUAAAAUAAAAAUUCAAUUUUAAAACUCAUGCAAUUAACCUCAUAUAUGUAUCAUAAGAUACACUUAAGAUAAAAUAUGGAUUGCGAUAUACAUCCAUUUCCUUAAAAAAUAUACUAAAUUUAUUGUUUCAUAUAUCUUAAGUUGUUAGCAUUUAUGUUUAUGGAUGUAUCAACCCUCUCUGUUUCCACUAGUCAAUAUAAAUACUUAUCAAAGAAAUCUGCACACACUUUUCUGCUAAUGCUUCUUCUUUUUUUUUUUUCUUUUUUCUUUUUUUAAUAAUUAUUUCAAGUCCUGGUCAUAUUUUCUCAUUUAUGGAUGAAUAAGUUAGCUUACGAGCUUGAUAUGAUUUUGCACUUAUGACCCCUCUUAAAAGAUUGUGCCACCAUUUCACAACAUCUAAUAUGGCAAACCUUAAUCUGUUUUGUGAGUGCAUAUAUGGCAAUAUAAAUAAAAGGGAAAACAAAAAAAUAGAGUUCUUGUGGAUAAGUAAUUUCAUCCAAAAUCGUAGGAUCCCUGUAAAUCUGUAUCAAUCCACAUCAUCAAUUUUGUAGGAAAGCAAACUCACAUGAACUAAAGUUUCAAAUUGCUUACAGCGGGUCACAUUAUUCUGCGAGGAUGGUGUGAGAAUUCAAAUGCCUAUGGUAACUCUGGGAAGUUUCCCCUCAAUCAGAAGGCAUCACGAUCUGCACUUAAAGCAAAGUUCAAGCAACAUCGGAACCAUGCCAAGAGGGCUUGCAAGAAAAACAACAAGAUGACUCUUUGGUUUGAAGUGGAUGACACUGGCUGUGGUAUGGGCUUUACAGUUAUCUGCUACUACUGCAAGAUUAAACCUUCUGCUUCUUAGUGACUCACUCUUUCUAACAUUUCUUUGCAGGAAUUGAUCCAAGCAAAUGGGAGUCAGUAUUUGAAAGCUUUGAGCAGGCUGACCCCUCAACAACUCGAACGUAAGUAGUAUUCAAGUUUCACUGUCCUCACUGGUUGAUGCACUUGUAAAUUGGAAGGAUUUAAUUAAUGAAAGCACAUUCUAGUAUUCAUGUUGGUUUAUUGUUUUAAUGCCAUAAGAAACAUACUAUACGCAAAUGCUUUUGCAAAUGAUCCACGGAACAACUGAAAAUUGAAUAUUCCACUUUAUGAUUUUCUUUUUUCUUUUUUUCUAUUUUUCAGUCAUGGUGGCACCGGUCUUGGCCUAUGCAUUGUACGAACUUUGGUGAGUUAAGUUUACAACUUAUAUGUAUCUGUCAUGCAUGACAAGGAAAAUCAUUCUGCAUCAAUAAUAUAAAUUCUCAAUUUAGGUCUCAGAAGAAACCACACUCCUUUCCAUGGCAUAUGGAUAACUUCAAUUAUUGAAGGGGUCCAACACCACUAUUUCAUAGUCCUAGUAGUUCUCCUAUCCAUUCACUCAUCCUGAUUAUAUCACCCUCAUUUGCAAAUUACUCAACCUUUAGACAGCCAUUUGUAUUUUUGCAUCUUCUGUAGAGCCUAAUUGCCCAUAGCACACUGAUCUUAGAUGUCUGUCAUGCAUGUGUCAAUUCAUCUUUCAACAUCUGAACUGCAACUAAUGCAUCACUACAAUUCAGUGAAAGACAAAUUAGUUCUUUUUUUUCAAUGUUUUAUGCUCCCCUCUACUUCUAUGUGAAUAUCCUUAUUCUAUUUUCUGAUGUGAGAGGUACUCACAGGUUAACAAGAUGGGUGGAGAAAUCAAGGUUGUGAAGAAGAAUAGUCCAGGGACUAUAAUGCAACUCUACUUGCUUCUCAAUACACCUAUAGAGGGAGCAGGACAGCAUUGUCAACUAGAAUUUGGGGAGCAUAGCCUAGUAGUGAGUAAAGUUGCUUUCAUUUCCCAUUUAUGGCUUUGUUACCUCUUAACACACUAUUUGGUUUCUAAUGAUAGGAAAAAAAUUAUGACUUAUAUUUUCAUCAUCUAGUCCAUUUGAGUUUAUAUUUUUGGAACUAAAGCAUCAACACCCAGAAGACUCGCACACCUUUCUUUUUUUCUCCUUCCCUUCAGCAACACAACUAAGACUAGGUGUUUCAACUGAAUUUUUCUAGUAUCUAUUGUAUAAUGCAUUCUGCAUUUGUCUUUAGGUUGUAUGUUAUAUUAAAAAAGGUUAGUCACUUACAAUGUGCAACAAUACUGUAGUAGUAUAAGCUUGCUCCCAACAAAUUGUUGAUUUGUUUCACAAUGCCAAAAAAAAGAAGAGAAAAGCAUGUGCACAGACACACAAGUCAUCUGCAGUAAGCAGAAAAUUCUGUCUCUCUGUCAGCUUGGGAACUUCACUCAACAACCCACCCCCACAAAAAAUGGACAACAAGAAUUAGUUAAACAAGGAAAAGCCACAUGGUCAACACUGUAGAUUCAUGUUCAGUUCAGGUGAAAACAUAUUGAUUCAAUCCAACUGAUGUGCACAAAAUUGUUCAAAAUCUGAAUGCAGGUACUGCUUGCACUAAGUGGUAGUAUGGGUAGGUUGAUUAUGUCCCAGUGGUUACGGAAGAAUGGUGUGUUCACUUGGGAAGCAUCAGAAUGGAAUGAACUGACUCAAAUUCUGGGGCAACUUUUUCGAGCCAGAAGUUCAGUUCCUAAUGGUGGCCUUGUUAUGCAAUGUUUACCAAGUGAACCUUUGAAAACUGAAGCACCAAACAUACAAGACACAAGGGCCUCAGUUUUUGUCAUAAUUGUUGACAUAGGGCUACUGGACUGGAGCACAGAUAUAUGGAGGGAACAGCUUAACUUCCUUGACAAAUACCAUGGAAAAGCAAGGUUUGCAUGGAUACUAAACCAUGAUACUUCCAAUUUCAUAAAGAUGGAGCUCCGCAGGAAAGGGCAUUUAUUAAUGGUUAAUAAACCAUUAUACAAGUCAAAAGUGGUGCAUAUUUUGGAAGCUGUCAUAAAGGGGAGGGAUCUUGAAAUGCAAGGGAGAAUUUUGAAUGGUUUGAAAAGUACAAGAAUAGAAGGUAAUUUGCAUGAAUCUCUUGAAAUUGAUUCUACCCAUUUUGAGGAGGUUCCCAGCUCUGAUGAUUCUGAUAGGUCUGAAAUGGGUAGUCAUAAGUCUAUCAAUGCAUAUCAUAUUGCAGAAAAACAAAAAGACAGGAUCAGAAAACCUUGUCCAUCGCAAUACCAGACAGCUAACAGUUGUUUAGUUGAAUUUACUCAAGUAUAUUCAACAGAAAAUAAUUUGAGGACAGAGGAUCCACAUCAAAUAAGGCCAAAUUCACAUGAUGCUGGAAAUGAAGGACACAAGUUGAUGUGCAACAAGAGCACAUCCCCUUUAACAGAAGCUGAAUGUGAAAAUUGUAGAGGCCAAGAACAACAUUUGAUCAGCACUUGUCCGAAAGAGCAUGGUAAUUCUUAUUCAGGAAAGACUGUGAAUGGACAGAAAUCUCUAGAAGGCUUACGAAUACUGCUUGCUGAAGAUACACCAGUUCUCCAGAGAGUUGCAACCAUAAUGCUUGAAAAAAUGGGAGCAACAGUCAUAGCUGUAGGAGAUGGACUGCAGGCAGUAGAUGCUUUGAAAUGUAUGCCUGGUGCAGAGGAGAGUAGAGGGAAAUGUCUUUUGCAAGAUGGCAGAACAAGGUGUCAAACACAAAUCCAUGAUUCCCUGCCAUAUGACUUGAUCCUAAUGGAUUGUCAAGUAAGGAACUGUUAAAUUCAUAUUUUGCCAAUGCUUCAUAAGAUCAUAGUUUUGCUAUUUUAAAUGUUUUUGCUUUCUUUUGGGAGAGAUUCCAGAAGAAAUGCUAACAAAAUGUUGCUUUGGUAUGUAUAUACUAACAUGGAACAUACUAUAAUCCUAGGAACUGGAUAAUUUUAUUCUGUGAACAUCUGCAUUUUGAACUAUGAUGUGCAUCUUCUGAACUUUAUUGUCUUUGUGACAAACAGAUGCCCAAGAUGGAUGGUUAUGAAGCAACAAAAACAAUAAGAAAGUCAGAAGAGGGAACAAGUUUGCACAUUCCCAUUGUUGCACUGACAGCCCAUGCAAUGUCAUCAGAUGAAGCCAAAUGUUUGGAGGUUGGUAUGGAUGCUUAUCUUACAAAGCCAAUUGACUACAGGCUGAUGGUGUCUACCAUUCUUUCACUUACAAAAAGAAUGGCCUAACUUUGUUUUGUCACAGUCAGCACAACUGCAUAAUCACACUAGCAAUAGCUAACAAGCUGCAGGCUUAGGCAGCACGCCAAUGUAUUAAAAAACAAAAGGGCAUAAUAGUAAACAGAAAAUAAUCCAAUUUUCCUUUUUUGUCUUGAUGGGAUAAGGAUGGUGUAACUGGCAUAUGGCAAUGCAAGAUUUGAAAUCUUUGUACGGUUGUACUUCCUUAGUUGGUUCUUCAUGUCCUACAGAUGAGUGCAGCUUCCAGUUUGUAUAUGACUGUACACUAGCGUAUCAACCAGAGCAUUCUGGGUAGACUGCAGGAACAAGACUGCUUUAAUUUUUUGAGGGUAGGAUGCUUUCUGAAAUGUGGGAAUUGGUGGGAGUUAAUGCAGACAGAGCUUGACCAAGUGCAGCUCAGAGAUGGGUGAUUAGUUUCCAAGGCCAUAAACUGAUCUAAAUCUGGCCAGGAACUGACCAGCUAAAUGAAGUUUAUUUAACCCUGUAGGUUUAUGUAGCUUUAUUGUUGAUCCAAAUGGAGGAGAUUGUGACACCAUAACACCAUGAAUCGAAUUUGUUUUUAAGGCUGUAACUAAUAGGUAAUGUUGAUGAGUAAAUUCCCUUUCUUUUUCCAUCUUGUUACUCUGAUCCUCUAGACUCCCUCCCUCUCUUUUUAUUCCCUAAGUUUUAUUGUCGUUUACUGGCUUUGGGGAUACUUUUAACCCCAAUCUCAUUCCAGUUCAUGCAGGAAUUGAGGCCUAAUGGUGAAUAGAAGGAAUUCUGGGAACAACUUGCUGUUGAAAAGGAAAAUUCACUGUUAAUACUAGUUGAGGAUUUUGAUUAGAAUAUGGAUGUUGUAUGAACCUGGUUCCAGUUCCAGGAGCUCUAUUUCAUUUCUUCUCAUCUUCUGUUUUUGGUGCAAACUCAAACUCUCUUGAAUUCUGUAGCAAAAAUGAAAGACUUCUUCUCCUGUUCUUCAUUCCACUCAUUUCACACUCAAAACAAAACCUUAUUUGCUGGAUUGUUUUAGCUGUAAUUUGAUAUCAUGGGGCUCUCUAUGGUUUAUUUGUUUACACCCAAUUUUGUAAAAAGAAGUCAUAUUUUUUAAUUAAUUAAUUUAGCGUCUAUUUGUAUUUUUUUUUCUUAGGAGUUCGUAUUUUUAUAUAAAAGUUAUAGUUACUUUUUGUUUACAAAACUAAAAGAAAAAUAAGAAAUACAUCCAAACUAUAGCUUAAGGUCAUAUUUGUUUUGCUUAAGUGCAACUUUAUUUCCUUAUCUCGUAGUAGCGCAAAGCCUCAUAUUUAUAUAUGCUGCAAGCGGGCAUGAGGGGCUUCGCAAUGCACACGUGGCACACUAACAGGUUGGGCUAUCAAGCAUCGAUGCCAUGUGUGGGGUCUACCCAUGACAAUGAGUCCAUAGGGUGAUUGCUGCAUCUCAUAAUGCUAACAAGUUCUUAACACUGUAUAUAGUGAAUUCCUCGUGAUCAUGUAGACAUGUUUUAAAAUUGUAAAAAUCUAUUAGAUUUAAAAAGAACCAUAGCUAAGAGUAUGUUAUUACAAAAGAUAGUAGUCAAUUCGUAAUCUCAAUGUGGGAUAUUGGACAAGUGUUUUGAGUAACCCUUUCUAAACAUGAUUGUGAUAUUUCAUAUAAAAUAGGAAACACUAUAUAUGUGUAUUCAUUUUGUACCACAUACUUAAUAAUGACUUGUUAAGUUCAAAACAAAUAAUAUCUACGUAGGAAUUAGUAGAUCCUUGCAUGUUUGGGUGAUUAUUUACUAAAAAAGUAAAAAAAAAAAAAAAAAAAUAGAAAAAGCCAAAAAAUGGUCAUUCAUUAGGAUCCACUUUUUAUUUUUUGUUUUUAAAGACAAAAAAUAGUCUUAAAUUGUAUAUAAAAUGUAUUCUUAUAUCAAAAGGUAUAAAUUUAUUUUGCUUUAUUAAAAUCACUUUUAAAAAAUUUAAAACUUGAAGUAGUAUUUUUUUUUUUUUGAUAUUUCACUGUUUUUAAAGAGAUUUUUUUUACAUUUAUGUAAAAACAUAAAACAAAAAUGUAUCCAAAUGUCACAUCAAUUUGUUAUUUUCAAAACUUUCUUAAGAAAUGUGAAAACUAUUUUCUUAAUUGAAAUAAAAAAAUUGAAUAAAUUCAUAUUAAAGAGGUUAUGAGACCCAUCAUAUAAAAACAAUACACAUAUUACAAAUAAAAGAAAUAUCUAUAUAUAUAUAUAUAGUUUUAAAUAUGGGCAUUAUCUUAUAAAUAUUUUCUUAAAAAUGAUGAGAUAAUACCCAUAAUUAGAAAGAAAGAAAAAAAAACUUUCAGGUAAACACCUUUAUUUUGAUAUUUUUACCUUUAAAAUUUUUAUUCAAAAAUUAUUUGAUAUGAGAUAUUAGAAGGGAUGCAACUCGAGUGGACUGACUGUUAUCUAACUCGAAUGCAAUUAAAUAUUUUGAAAGAUUUUGACAAUGAUUUUCAAUACUUAGGUUAAGGUUUCCUCGAUCCAAACUCAAAUUGAGUUAAGCUUAGGUAAAUAUCCAAGCAAUCUAAACCUAACUCGAUUUAAUUUUUUUAUAAGAUUUAUAAUAUAUGCUAUUCCAUGUAAUAACAUUCAUUUUAUUUAAAUUUUUAAGCAAAAAUAUCAUUUUAUAUUAUAUUAUAUAUUUUUUUCAAUUUUUUUUCAUUUAUUAUUUAUAUAUAUAUAAAAGGUUUUUAAAAACAUUAUAAAUAAAUUUUGAAUAUAAGUCGAUUAACCCGAAUACAACUUAAUUAAUUCAAACUCAACCUAAACUUUGAUAAAUGAGGUUAGGUUGAACUCAGGGUGAGUUGAUCUUCGAUUAAUUAUCUUUUAAGUUGGAUUUGGUUAGUUAUCACCCACGAUCCGCCCAAAUUGAAAAAAUGAUUGGAAGGGAAGUAUUUUCUCAAAGGAGUUAAUAUUUGAUGUCUUUAAAAGAUGAAUGUUAUUUUUCCGGUUUUUUAUUUUCAAAUACCCUUUUACCCUUUUAAUCAAAUAUAACAACAAUUGGUUGGUUAUUAAAUGACCAAACUAUCCAAGUAUCACUGCCGUGGCGGUCCCCAAUUGGUCGUUAAGCCACCAAAUGGGUCCGUAUUUCGAAUCGACUUUGCAGCGAGACGGUGAAUCUGUGAGUGACUUGUUGCCUACGUCUUGACAUUGAAAAGGAGGAGGAGGGAAUUGCAGAGAUUCCAGAAAAAAUCGAGUAAGGAAGAAAAAAACAAGAAGCUGAAGAAGAAAGAUGGCCAGAUACGAUAGGGCGAUUACAGUCUUCUCACCAGAUGGUCAUCUCUUUCAGGUCGAGUACGCUCUCGAAGCCGUCCGUAAAGGCAACGCCGCCGUCGGCGUCCGCGGCACCGACACCAUCGUUCUCGGCGUCGAGAAAAAGUCCACCGCCAAACUCCAAGAUUCCAGGUCUCCUUUUUUCAUUUUUCAUUUUUAUUUUCUUUUUUUCUUGUGUAAAUACCAAAAUGAAGGUAGGGUUAGGGUUUGAUGGUUUUGGAGACAUCCAUGUCUCUUCACUAGAAAAAUUAGAAAAAUGAGGUCUUCUUUUGAAUUCUCAAGUGCCCACAUCUGGAACAAGUAUUGCUGGCCGAUUCAUAUGCUACAAAAGCGAAAUGUAAACAUACUUGUCUAAUCAAACUUACAUUUCAUUGAGGUUUUAAAAUUCCAUAAAUUUCUGAUACAGUUCUACUAGUGAAAUUGUGACAUGCUUGUAUCUUUUAUACGGAAAAUUAAAAAAAAAAAUAAAUACAAGUUGAGGAAACCGGUGGUGGAGUUACUGUGGAUUGGUGAUGCUGUACGUUUCUACUGCAGAUGUCUAGAAGAGGUCCAGCCUUGUUGCUUUCCUGUCACCAGUAGUCAUAUAAGAUUCACUUAUUUAGGGUGCAAUUUUUUGCCAUAGUUAUGUCUAGGGUGGCGUUUUAAAUUUUAUUUUUCUUAGGAGUUAGGAUUGAUUUUGUGCUGACUAUUUUUCUGUUCUGUUCUGCAGAACAGUUAGGAAGAUUGUUAACCUGGAUGAUCACAUUGCACUGGCCUGUGCUGGGCUCAAGGCAGAUGCUCGAGUCCUAAUUAACAGAGCACGGAUUGAAUGCCAAAGCCACAGACUUACUGUUGAGGACCCUGUAACUGUUGAGUAUAUUACACGCUAUAUCGCGGGUCUUCAGCAAAAGUACACACAGAGCGGUGGUGUGAGACCAUUUGGCCUUUCAACUUUGAUUGUGGGCUUUGAUCCAUACACUGGUGUGCCAUCUCUAUAUCAGACGGAUCCAUCAGGGACAUUUUCUGCUUGGAAAGCUAAUGCAACUGGGAGAAACUCUAAUUCGAUGAGGGAGUUCCUGGAGAAGAACUAUAAAGAAACUUCCGGGCAAGAAACUGUGAAGCUUGCAAUUCGUGCAUUGCUUGAAGUGAGUGGCUUUUUGCCUGCUUUGUUUGUUAUUUCAUAUGUACAUAGUUUGUUGCACAUAAUCUCCCUUGUUUUUAUUCUCUGAGGCUAGUGGUAUAGGUUUUUCAUAGUUUUACCAUAGUUGCUUGCAUCCAGCACAAAUUACGUAUAUAUCAAAUAAAUAAAUAAAUAAAGGUCCAAAAUGAUAAAGGUCCAGUGACCCUGCCUCUCCUUGUACUCAAUGAAUCAACGGUCACUACUUAAUUGCUACUAACCAAAUGUUCUGCUCUCUCUUAUCAAAUACUGCUAACAGUAUAGAAAUACUCAAAUGUAAAUUGUCACCUGCUUUCUAUAACAUUGAGUGAGUCAGUGUCAAUUCUAUACUGUACCUGUCAGUAAUCAAUCUAUUGGUUCAAAUUUCUUGGUUUAUCAGCUUGCUCUUCAAUGGUCCUGCUGUAUGACAAAAUCUAGCUAUGACAGAGUUUGUUUAUUUAGAUAUUUGAAUAUCUAUACAAGAAUACUCCAGUGUACUGGGAUUAUGCCCCCUUUUUUUCUAGGUGCUUUUUUUUAUCUAUUAUCUGUUUUCCUAUCAAAAAAAGAAAACAGACAACUGGAGAUUCAAAUUCCAAACCUUCCUCUACUCCACCCACUUCACCACUUGAGCCAAGGCCUAGGAGCAAUGUUGUUGGUCCUGUGAAAUAUGCUAAGUCAUGAGUUAGGAAAAGUCAUAGAUGUUCUAAGUUUUUGGUCUAUCAGAAUGAUGGAUUACUAUGUGUAUAGGCUCUUGGUUCAACAGUCUAAAUUCUUGAGUGGUGAUCCAUACUAAGCAGUUGGAAGAUUUCUUCUUUAUUUUUUUUAGCAUUCUAUGAUUAGCAUUCUAUGAAUAAAGUAUACAAGUCUUAUAUUGUGAAGUUGAUGCAUAGAUAUCUCAGGCCUCCUUAGGUGUGAUCAGGUGUUGGUAAUGCAGAAACACAUUUGUUUCUGCCUUCCCAAAAUAUUUAUGUCAUAUGAGUUAUCAAUCAUUCUUAUGUUAAAAAUAUAUUGUCAACCAUGUAAUAAGAUUGUUGAGUAUGAGGCACUUAGAUUGGUGUUUUUUUUUUAUCUUUGUCUGUCCAAUUUCAGUACCAAUUAAAGGAAAAAUGUGGAAAAAAAAAAAUCGAUCCUCCACUUCCCCGUCUCCCUUUCCUUCACACAUGCACUCCACCCAAACACUCCCAUAUAAACACAGGUCCAUAAAGGUGGAGGAUCUAGUUACUUUUUUAUUUUCAUUAUUAUUGUGUUCACAAUGCUAGAAGUAGUUACUAGAAAGUACUACAAAUUAUAUGAACAUGUUAAUAUUUGGCAUGAUUAUCAUCAGGUUAUGGGUCCACACCACUAAAACAUGCUGCAUGUUAGUCAUUAGAGGUGCCUGGACACUGCUUCAGCACUAAUGUCCUUGUUGAUAUUGUAAUUAUCUGGUUGGGACUUUUCACUUAGGGCCUAAUGAGGGCAAUAGCUUGUCUGGUAGGUGGGGUAGCGAGUUGAGUGAUUUGGUAUGAUGGUUUGUACAUUUGUAUAUCUUGAUUUCAGAAGCAUAACUUUUGGCAUGUGUUAUCUUAUUACAUGUAGGUGGUUGAGAGUGGAGGAAAGAACAUAGAAAUUGCUGUGAUGACGAGGGAGCAUGGUCUGCGGCAACUUGAUGAGGCUGAAAUUGAUGCCAUUGUUGCUGAGAUUGAAGCAGAGAAGGCUGCUGCCGAGGCUGCAAAGAAGGGCCCUCCAAAGGAUACAUGAGCUUUGCCUUUCCCCUCUCUUCUCCAUUGAUGCUUAUCCUACCUUGCAACUUCCUUAAAAGAGUGAAAAACAAGGUAGAACUUUUCAAAAUUUAAAACUAUGUCCUGGAUUUUGGUGUGGGCAAGAGCGACUGUCAUUGUCAGCAUUUUCAAUGUUGUUAAGAAGUAUUGCAACCAUGAACUUUAAAAAUCAAUUUAACAGCUUCUCUCCAAAUGGGUUGUGAAACUGAUUUGGGACAAAGAAUUUAGUGAAUUGCGGUGCCUGCUUCUAGUUGAUUUUUAAUCUUUCAGGUCAGCGGUUUUGUUUAGUUUCUAGAAAAGUUGAGGUAAAAAUAUAAGGGGAAGAAAAUAAAUAGAAAAAAGUAAAAAAUAAAUUUGAAGUUAAUAAAUUAUUUUUAUAUUUUAUUUAUCUUAACUUUUUUGUAUUAAAAUUAAAUAAUUAUGAAUUUAUAAAUUUUUUUUAUUAGUUUUAUUUGUAUUUGAUUUUUUUUCACAAUAAAAAUAAAAAUAAUUUAUUUUUAUUUUUAUUUUUCUUUUCUUAGCACUUCUAAGAAAGACUCGUUUCAAAACAAAACCCUACAAGGAGCUAGAAUUUCAUCUCCAUUUCAUUGUAAGCUGGUCGGAUUGCAGAAUUCAUUACUCUGAUGUUGCAGGACGUUAUGUUCUCCAUGGUUUUCAGAGUUGAGGAUAAAUUUAUUUCUUUUUAUACUUCCUAAGUAAAAAGAAUUGAAAUAUGAAUAAGUUUUCACUAAAUUUUCAAAUUUAAAAGAAAAAAGAAAAAUGAAAAAAGAAAGAAAGAUGUUUGAGGAAAAAGAUUAAAAU